UCUUCUUCUUCUUCUUCUUCUUUUUUUUUUUUUUUUUUUGUUUUAAUUAAUAAUUCCAACCUCCUUCCUUCUUGGGUUGUUUGAAACUUUAAUGCUACUUCAUUAAUUCACCCACCUAUUUCCUCUCCCAACUUUAUUAUUAUUUAUUUUUAUUAUUUUUUUCUUUCUCUUUCGCCUUCUUAAACUAACAUCUCCUCUCUUUCUCUCUAUAACUCUAAACUUCUCUCCCUUUUUCUUCAAUCCUACUACACACUUUCUUCCAACCUUUGCAACGGACUAAACUUGUUCAGGUGGAUUUGCAUCUAUUCAGUUUUUUUUCUUUCAUUUUAUUGAAGUUUUCAAUGUUGUUGGGUUUUUGUUUAACACUUGAACACGGUUUCUAACUUAUUAUAUGUAAGCCUCUGUCUGUUGAUUUGUUGGUCUGUUUCAUUUCGUUAUGGGGUUUUUGUUUUAGCAACGAGAUGUUGGUCCGGUUCAAUAAGAAAGUAGUGCUCUGUUUAACUUGGGUUCUUCUUUUUUUUUUAUUGAGCCGUGCCAAUAUCACGUUUUAUAUUAUUAUCCAUCAUCAAAGAGUCUUAUUCAAAUAUGAGUAUGUGAGUUGUUUUUAUUAUUAUUGAAAGUGACGAGGAAAAUGACUUUGACGUGUGGAAGUUUAAUAACAUGAAGUGGGGUAGAGAAAUUCAAAUCUUUGAUAUUUAGGUUGAGAUCAGUAUAUGUUUUAAUUUGUUGUACUCAUGUGGAUAAUUACUGGUUUUUAUAGUAUAUGAUUAAGUUUAUGUAUCAUGCUCUUAUUGGCAUUAUUUUGUUAAUGUUAUAGAAGUUCCAAAAGUUGAUCUUAUCAUUCAGGUUGAAAAGUUGUUAAUAUCCUGAAAGACAAAUAUUCUCCAACAAUUUCUAUUCAUGGUUCUGAUUCUAACAUGCUGUCUUGUGUCAUCUCAUGUUUAUCUUUCUGUUUCUUUCUUUUUUUUUUUCUUUUUUUUAUUAUUAUUUUCAUCUUUCAGUUUUUGUUGCAAAAUUAGGUUCUAUGCCAUUUUGUUUAAAGCAGAACAGAACAUAACCCACUAUUUACUGCUUUGGAGAGAAUUUCCUUUUUAUGGCAAAGUUGAUCUUUUACAAAGCUUUUCUUCAAAAGAAUCUACUGGAAUAUUUUCUAUUUAAAGUUCUUGCUGACUAUUUACUGCUUUCAAACUCAUGUUUGACUACUUUAAGUUGCUUUCAACUGCUUUCAAAACUAGUUAAAACAUGCAAAAUUUUGAGUACACUAAUGCUUCACUACUUUAAGGUAUUGUCAGUUUGGUUGUUUACAAAGAUUUUUGAAUGAGCUUUUGUCUUCCAUAUGGACAAUAUGUAAGAAAUGAAACAAAUUGUGCUGAAAUGCAAGAAUUCUGUCGACUUGUAUUCUUUCUCACAAUAAAAGAGGUAGUGAAGGGAUCAAGAAAAGCCAUGGAGUAUCUAUUUAUUUUCAUGUCUUUCAUGACAGUAGGGAACUAUUAACUUACACAUUACCCCUCAUAGCCACAAAGAAUUUGUUUGCUUUUUUUUCUCUCUUUUCUUUUAAGUUGCUGAAUCACCCGACCCUCGGCAAAAUUGGAGGCGGCUCGUGCAGCAAACUCUUUCUCUAUUAGUUAAAUCUCUGUAUCGUUACAAGAUUAGAAAGCUUCUAUCAAAGAUAACAGUGAACAAACUCAUCAAUCAUCAUUGUUCCCGAGUAUGGAAGAAGUCUCAAGCAGUAACUCAGAAAGUGGCACUCCAUAGUACAUUCUCGCCUUCUCCACACCGUCGAUGGACUUCUUUAAUCCUUUCAGCAGACUUGCAUAUCCCACUGCAACUCCAGUCGAAUGAAGCAAUGCAAAUGUUCCCUGCCUGAGCCUUCCACUCGCAAUCUGCACCCGAAAAGAAUUUGUAACUCAACUCAUGAUACCCUCACAUUAACAGAAGGCAGUUAGAGUUUGCUACUACAUUGCAGAGUUUUAGUGGCAGGACAACUAUGUACCAAACUUUAUCAGCAAUUUGAUUUGGUUUUUCUCCCAGUUCCAGUUUCAAAGACAUAGUAAUGUGAUCCCGAAGGCAAUUUGUUUUUCCCGCUAGGAUGUCAUAUUUACAGUACAAGAUUAUGAUUAGCAUGGUAAUGUAAACUUUAUUUUGGUCAAUAUCUGCCACACCAACUAGAUAGGAAUUUCCUACCAUCAAUAAAAGACAAAUAGUAUGGGUCUCUAAUACUAUUCAAUUCUGAUUAUGAUUCUGGUAUGGAGUAUCUUUCAACUGGGGCCAACUAACAAUGGAUUUGACUUCUGAACCAAUAUUCUUCUUCAAAAUGGUUAGUAGGUUACCGAUUUAGACCUAACUGAAAUUAGCCUUCCAUGGACAAAUCCUUCCUUUUUUCUUGCAUUGAAAAUAAGCAUCACGCUCGAAUAGUAGUAAGAGAAAAAGAAUGUGGGUACACUUUACCAGGUGGAGUACCACAGCAAAGUCGCCGAUCAUCGAUAUGUUCGACAUCAAGUCCAAUAAUCCAGGAACCCAAGGAGACAUCCUCAUUAGCGUACUUGUGUAAAAUAUGCCUGAGAUAAGAUAUAAUGGACAAAGGUUUCUUGAAAUAAAUGGUUGGACAAUGAAAGGCCAUCUCUCACAUUCAUUAAGUCAGUUUUUGAAGCUUACUGGUUUAUUGAAAUGUAAGUAGCCAAAUCAUUUGAGAUGGCGUAUAGUUGUCCUGUUGCAUGACGGAAAUACUUAUUUCCAGCUUCUCCGAAUUUCCAAUGUUCUGGCUCGUGGUAUCUCACUCCCCUGAAUAACAGUUGAUUUAGUUUUAGCUCAAUAUUGACUGCAAAGUGGGAAGCAGAAGGAGAGAGUAUCUCACCUUUGCGAAAGGACGGGGCCAGAUUUCAUGCAUCCAAUGUAAACUCGUGGUUUGGAUCGAUGCCUGGCUAAUGUCUCACCGAGCGUUCCUGUGGCAAAGGAUAGAAAUGCAUUAAGGAAACUCAGAUUUCAUUCAGUUUUUAUACUACACUGCCCUCUGCAUCAGCAUACCAAUAUUUACAUGAACAUCGUCAUCGACUUUAACAUAAAAGUCUGCAUCCCAUAGAGAAACAGCUGUUACAAAGUAUGUCUUAGUUUUUGCUGAUAAUUCCAGGUAACCUUCAACAUGAUCCUGCUCCCAAAUGAGGUAAACAUGGGUGAAGAGCAUAAUCAAUCGACUGGGGCAAGUAGAGGAUUGAAAACAAUAGCUUCUACAAUUAUUUUAAACGUGUGGGGUUCGAGAAACAACGAAAAAUAGGUACAAAAUAUUACCAGCCUAAGGAGAUCUCCAUGCUUUUUAUCUUCUGCUUCAAUUGCUCUGUCAAGAAUACCUCCUGAUGUGGCACUAUAUAAGAAGGGAAAAUUGCUCACUAAUUAAAGAACCAUUCAAAGGAAAAUGAGUAUCAGCCACUCGAAGGUGUAAUGUUAUUUAGAUCAAACUUCUACCUAUUUGAUUGAAAGGAUCUGUAAAUCAAAAUUCGUCAAUCCAAUGAUGGACUCUAAUAUUAAUUACAUUAUGGAUAUCAGAUAAUAAAAUCAGGGUAGUCACAAGUCUCGGCUUCCAUUAAAAGCAACUAUACAGUUGAAGUAAGAAAAUGUUCUCUAUCUUAUAGUUCUUAAACAACUACUACAGCAAAUGCCAAUCAGAAGUUCCAUUAUUCUCAAAAUAAAGGCACUCGGAUAUAGUAAUUAUCUUGAGAAGAAGGCAAAGUACUUCAAACAGCAAACAUACUUGAGGAUUAUUCAAUGCCACCUAAUUUGAACAUGACAUUUAAGGGAAUAUGAAGAGGAUAGGAAAGCGACCUAUGGCCAAUCACAAAGCGAAUUAUGAUGCCCUUCUCUUCCUCCAACUUCUUUCUUUUUUCACCUUUUUUUAAACAAAAUACAAAAAAACGAAGCAACAGUCAGAUGUAAAUAACAAGUAUUGUAUGAGAUAAACUGAAAUAAGAAAACAGAUUAAUAUAGUUAGAAAAGGUGAUACAAGUAUUACGAGAUCAGCGAAAACCAAUGAACACUCAUGAAAAGUAAACAGGAAGGAAUUACAAACCUUGAGGCAUCCAGGUAGCCCGAAUAGAAUCUCUUCUUUUCCUGCUGCUAAAGGCAGUAUUGAUUCCUAUAACCAUUAAAUACUUUCUUCUUCCAGAUGUAUCUGUCUGCUUUGAAUCUUCUGAUAAAGGUGAACUUCUUUGAACUGAUUCUUGUACUGACUUGGCAGCAGCUAAUUCCAUCCCUAAAUUAGAAAUUGUCUUAUCUAAUGUGCUGCAUUUAAACACCUUGUGAGUUAGUUAUAGCUAUGCAUUAGCCCUAUCUAAGACUCUUUCCCACCCCCCAAUAGAGGACAAUUUCUUACUGUAUAGCGUUAUGUGUCUUAAAAACUUUGCCAAAAAUGUCUUUAGAUGAAAAAUUGACUUCAUUCUGUUGUAACUGCUGGAAUUGGGAGAAUACGAAGAGGAGAAGAAAAAGAAGAACAAGAAUUAAUACGUCGAUGCAGCAAUUAGCAUUGAAGAAGCAAGAGAAAUUUGGAGAUGCAUACAGUUUUUAGGUCACAACCCCCUGAAACUAAUUUCAAUUCUUCUGCUUCUAUGGACGUUGUUCGUGCCAUGGCUUUAUGUUCAGGUAUGGUCCACAUCCUGCAAGAAAUUCCAUUGUUUCAUCAUUAGUCAGGAGUCAUCCUCCCAAAAAGAAAAGGAAAAAAAAACAAAAAACAAAUAAAAAGAGUUCUUGGUACUCUAUGAACAUUGACCAUAGAGGAUACAUAAACACAGGAAAUUUUAGAAGGAUAUAAGAAAAAAGAACAUGAGCUUCAAACAAAAUUUUAUAAAAUGACCCUCUCUUUCAAUUAUACUUCAAACUUCAAAAUCAAUUUAUUGAGAGAAUUAAUUUGCUCCAACGCACUUAACUACCAAUUCUAUAUCAUUCUUUCAUUCCGAACUGCAAUUUGAAAAGUGAAUAUAAAAGAGAAUUCACCGCAAAAUUAGAAACACUACAAAUCCGGCAGCAAUAUCAACCACAGUCUAGCAAUUUGUUCAAACAUGGGAAGAGACAGAGAGACAGAAUAGUUAAACUUCCAGUAACUAUAAGUUGAGUAUGCAAUUACUGAUACUACUAAUUCCUAGGCCAUUGAAUCACAAAAAGAGAAAAAAGAAGAAAACAUGAGACCCACCAAAUACACAUUCAUUAUUAAGAGAGAGAGAGAGAGAGAGAGACCAAAUGAAGAAGAAGAAAACAAAAUCAUAAUACACGCGUCCUUUUGGAUCAACUGGGUAAAGCAAGGUACGUCGUUAAAAGAAGAUAAAUAUUCCAAAACAUCGUGUCCUUUUCUUAAAUCAGGGAGAUAACAAACUUCGGAGUCCAAACAAUGUAAAUAUCAGCACAAUUUUACUCCAGAAAGGCAUAAGGCGAUCAACAAGAACCCCAAAAUUGAAAACUAAGCACGAAAUCAAGAAUAAAAGAAUAAACCCAUUUCAUAGAGGCGAAAACAAAAAACAAAAAAGAUUACCCAGAAACAGAAAAAGGAAGUAAAAAUCGGAGUUUCAAACCUGUUGGUGAAGAGCAUUCCAGAGCAAAAGCAUACCAAGCAAAGAAACAGAGUCCAUUUCUGGGAUAUAACACUUCUUGAAGAAUGAUGAUCGGCCUUACUUUUCCAAGACAUGUUACUUCUGAGGCUAAUAUAAGGAAAGCAGCAAUUUGGUCGGAAAAACAACCAUAAGUAGGAGAAGAAAGAAACCGAAUCGAGUCAAAUGGUUGAAGUUGUAUGAGCAGAGGAGGAAGUGGAAACAGAGGAAGAGAAGAAGGGUUGAGAAUAAAGGCAGUAGUGGGUGUUUUAUUUUCUUUCUUUUUCACUACUUCUAGUUUGUUCGUUUCUUUAUCCCUUUUGCUUUGAUUUUUCUCUCUCUAGUACUGUAAUGGCAGCUGAAAAUGAAUCCUCGCCUUUGCAGAGAAGGCAAGUUGAAUUGAACAGAGGAGAGGUGCGAGAGAAGAGACUAACAUGCCGUCAUCUUUCUCGUAUUGCUAAAUUACCAAUCUCUCCUCAUCAAUUUUAGCUAUCUUUCAAAAUUUUCAAAAUUUAUUUAUUUAUUAUUAUUUUGCAAAUAUCAUGUAUUGCUUAAAAAUGGAGAACUUAGAGUACGAGCAAAAUCACACUACAAAAACAACUAAAUAGUCGAUUCAUACAACUCGAAAAAUGUCACAAGAAGUCUACAUAGAUGUUCACAUAAAACGCCUCCAACCACUUAGAAAACAAAUACAAAUAUUAGAUCAAAUAUCCAAAUUAGAUAUCUGAAAACGAUGGGAAGAGGCAACAUGGACAUACCUAUUACCUUCGUGCCAAGUAAAGAACAACACACCAAACAAUUCUCUAAACAUUACGCCUCAAUCGAUUAUCUUUGUAAAAUUGAAAAUUCAAACAAACCUUACAUCUCCAUGUGAUACACUAUGGGAACCCAACUCCGCGAAAAUAUGUCCUUUUAGAUAGUCUUACUAAACAAACACUCAAAGAAUAAAUUAUACUAAUCUCCACUCCACCAGUACAUAAAACACAAUUGCUAGGAAUAUCUUAACACCACCUUCUAACACGUUCAUAGGUUCACAACCAAAUUUGAAUAGCAAGCCAAGAAAUGAAAGCAUACUUGAGAAUAUUUUUCCCGAACCAAAGGAGGCUAGCCCAAGGCACCAUGAGAGUCUAUGAUGUAAACUCAUAAGCACUAGGGACUAGGAACACACUAGAAUGACGAGGAAGUCAAGUUACACUAUCUACCUGCUCAAACUUAACAUUAAUCAAGUGUGCUUGCAUGGAAAGAUCAUCCAUAUCCCUAAAUGUAGACGGCCAAUUCUCAGUUUCAGUGGAACAAAGAAAGUCAUUCAUCUUAGCAUGUAAGGAACUAUUUAUGUUGGUGUCAAAAAAAAAAAAAAAAAAAUCAACCAUAGAUUUAUUUUAUAAAUUAGGAGGAUAAUUUGAGUACCUACAAAACGAAAGAAAGAUUAAACACUAGUGUGAUGUCUAGCCACACACUUCGAUGCUCAAGUCAGUCUUGUAUUUCUGAGUACUUAGACAAUAGAAGAAUAGUAGGGUAUUUGAACAUAUGGUCAACCAAUGAUAUGAGUUGUUUUAUAUAGAAGAGUGAUUCAUAACUGAUCCUCAAGCUCAUAAUGUCUUAAUUCUAGAACGGUUGAGUUAAUACUCAAUGGGCAGUUACACUAUCAUUAUAACUAAUGUAUGGGUAUUCUUAAUGCUUCCUUUAAGGUUUUUCUUCGUUAGGAAUUUAUACAAUUUUACACUCAAUCUCUUAGAGGUAUUUCUCCAUAGAUUCUCUGAGCUCUCUUAGGUAUUGCCACAAAGGGUGCUCUUCUGGGUGGGUCCUUCACCCUUGAAAUCCUUUUAGAAGGGUUAGGCUCUUCUUUUUAGGUAGCUCAUCUUAGAAGAUUAUACUCUCCUUUAUGGUUAGCUCCUUCUAGGAGGUUAGGUUCUCCUUAACAAGCUCUCCCUUGUGGGUUAUUCUUUUCUCGUGAGCUUCACUUAGAAGGCUAGGUUCCUACUAUUGAAAACAAACUAGGACUAGACGCAAUGAACAUAAUUAUUUUCUCUAACUCUAUAAUGUAAACAUACUGUGGAUAAACAAUUAAAUCACAAAUAAACAUACCUCUGUGUCGAUGUUAGUAACUGUCCAAAUUCGAAUUGUCUUUGUUCUGAUAUGAAUGAUCCUCCAAAUUUGUAUCACCAAAACACUGUGAAACCACUAGCAUUCUCUAACAAUAUCCACACACAGAUUGAGAAUUCGACUCAUCGAAUUUGGGUCUGUUAGAACCUUACAGGGUGGAAAUUUUGACUCUCACUUUUGUUUCUCUAUGUCAAACAAAUUUCUGUCUUUUUGCAUGUAUCUCAAAUAAAAACGCCUAAGGUUUUAUUUAAAUGUUUCCUAAUAAGCUUUCAAUUUUCCAAUUGGGCUUAUUAAUUACCCAGCCCAAAGGCAAAUUCGACCCGGUUCGUUAGAUUAAUUUAAGAAAGAUUUAGACAAAAGACCUAAAUCUACUAGAAAAUUUCACAAAUGUCCUAAAUAAUGAUUUAUUUCCUUUAUUAGGUUUUCGUAAAUUUUUAGGACAAUUAUAACCUCAUAUUAAUUAUUAAUUAUAUAUAAUUUUUUAAAUUAAAUUCAAAUGAUUUCCUUAUUUAUAUUAUACUAAAUUAAUUACGUAAAUGAUAACUUCCUUAGCCUAUUAAUUACUGUACAAAUUUAUUAUGAAAAUUAAUUAGAAACAAUUUUUUUUCUAGUAUGGAAUAAUUUAAUGAUUAAGUAUAACAUUAUAUCAUUAUUUACAUCACCCGUGAACAUUAUGAGAUCAAAAUUCCGGUGCCAACGACAAUUUUUUCUUCUUCAUAAUUUAAUUUCGAUCGAUUCUUCCAUCAAUUUUAUAUGAAAAACUAAUGUAAUAUAGUUAAUUUAUUUUUCUAACCAUUGCAAAGUAAUUGUCUAGCAAUCAUUAUAGCAUUUUAAGAAUUUAUGAAUUUAAUCUUAAAGAACAAUUGAAAGGAAAAUUAAUCGAUUAAAAAUAAAGAUUAUUAAUAAAAACAAAAAUUGUUGAGAAGAAAAAAAUCAACCUAUACAAUAAAAUAAAAAUGAAACACAAGUAUAAGUUGCAUAUCACAUAUUAAAAACUAGUAUUUAUAAAUGAUGCCAUGUGUAUGUUUUAAGUUGUAUGCAUUAAACUUUUCAUCAAUGCACAAUUGAAACAUACUUAAGGUUGAAGAUUUUAAUAUUUAAUCAACUUUUAGUAAUUCUAUGCGAUGGGAUGUAUCCUAAACUAAUUAAUGAGAACAUUAUCUUAAUAAUAUUAAGCAUGGUGAUUUUAUGUAAUAUAAUAUACAUUAAGAAGCUGUCAAGUUAUGCUCAAAAUCUUUUUUUUUUCUCUCUUAGAAAACCGUUCAUAUUAUUUUAUUUUAUAUUUUUUAAUCUUCGGAUUCUAUAUCUUUACAUAAUUAUGCAAUGUAACAAAGUAGAAUAAUUAGUAAAUCAUUGAUUGCCUUCCCAUUUUGUAUACCUACAACUCCGAGUCAUCCAAACUUCAAGAAUAGAUCUGAAUUUGAUGGGAAUACUCCAAUUAAAAAAUUAAUUUCCCUAACAUUAUCGAGACUAUAAUCAAUUUGCAAACGAUCUUUUUUCGUACAACUAUAAUACAUAUUCUUUUAGUUUGAUCUCAAAAUAUUUUACCGAUUAUAAAUAUUUAUGCUGAUUAGGUUUAGUAUCAAAACUGUAUAUAUCACUUCAUUCACACUUCAUCUACAUUUUCACGUGUUUUGAAGAUACUAAAUCUUAGUUUGCAAAUAGGUGUGACCCUUUCUCAAAUUUUAUUUGUUGCUUACAAGAACUCUAAACAAAAGAGAAUAUUUAUGAAGUUUGGAAUAUAAACCAAAAAUAUUUAGGUUGUUGAAGUAAAAGUGUGUUGCUUUAUUUCUUUCUAAGGACAGAAAGUUGAAGAAUAUUGAAAAAAAUGUUGUGUCCAAAUGGGAAUUUUCAAUUUCUGUUUUGCUCAUCCCUUUUUAAUAUUUCUUUUACCCAAUAUUCCCCCAAGUAAUAAAGUGAUGGAUUUCUCCCCAUAAUUCUUCAAAGAUUGAACUUUGAAGUACCAUAUUGCCCUCCACUUUUUUCUUUAUAUAUUGUUAUUACUAAUUGAUUACUUGUUUUGGUCAAAUAUAUAUAAUGUAAUAUACACGAUUACAAUUAUGUUUUAAUAAUUUGUUUAUAGAAGGAGAAUCCAAGCUCUAAUUUCAAAGGCCAUAUUAAAAAUUUUAUUCUACCUUUAUUUUGACAAUUAUAUUUUAAUAUCUAUUCAUUAUUGUUUGGACUAACCAUUUAUUUUAAGAUUUGAUUGAUAGAAUUUAGGGUUUAAUAUAAUGCAAAAAAAAAAAAAAAAAAGAGAGGGAUCUCAGAAUAAAAUUGAAACUAUUUAUUAAAUUGGAUAAAAUAUGAACACGUUUUUAUGAAAGCUUCUAAAAUUUAGCGAAAUUGCUUUGUUCGUUGUGAGGGUUUACAUCUUGUUUCUCUUUUCUUUUUUCUUUUUUUUUUCUCUCUCUAUAUAUUUUAAAAUGUCAUAUUUUUAUAGUCAAUCAAUUUUGAGUUUUGAUUUUAUUUUCAUCCCUACAUUUUCAAAUAUUGCAAUUUUAUUUUUGAGAUUUGAGUUUUAUAUCAAUUUAGUGUUUCACCUCUUCUGAGGGAUGUCCUCUAAAACUUAGCCAAAAGUGAAAAAUCUUAAAAAAUUCUGUAUUCAUUGAUUAAGUUAAAAUAACAAUUUCUAUGUUGUCUCAUCUCACAAAAAUAAAGAAGCAAAGCUUCAAAAGUAAAAAUUUAGAGAGUUGAGUAAUAAGAGGUGAUAAGAGUUACAGUUGAGUAGAGUACCUAUGAUUUUUCACUCAACUCCAGACAUAAUGUAAAUAUAAUAAAAAGCAUUCUUUCACCGAAUAAAAGGAUUCGAAAUUGUUCAAAGAUUUUAGCCAUUCCUGAAGUUGAAAUAAGAUUUAUUGUGAGUAAUGAACAAGGGUGUUUUGAGUAUUUAUGUGAUCAGACUGGAAAAUGGAUUGAUGUUUGGUCUUAUAAUGCCUGAAACCAGCAUAUUAUUCACUAAUUUUUCAAUCUCGUUUUUCUAGGCGUGAGGGUAACGGUGUGGUCUUACAUUGAUGGGAUAUGUACCUUCUUUCUACUAAAUUCUGUGGUCAAUAUGUCACAUCGGAGGUAGCUCGUCUGGCAUAUAUAUUAAAUAUAUCUUUGAAUUCAUGUUGGAGUUGUUUAAAUUGCGGUUGGAACUCUUUUACUAAGUUUGUCACUACCAACACUAUUGAUCAACUUUGGAAAUUCUCAUGGCCUUGAAAUUAACUAAAAAUCCUUAAUCGUUCGACUGUCAUGUCUUAUCUAGCAUUUUCAGUGAUACUUCCAUUUUGGCUAGCGACGGGUCCUUUUUUAGAUUACCUUAGUGUCCCUGACAAUGAACAUCAGGGUUAAUUCCUUCCAGUAAACAGUUAUGUCACCUUGCUUUCGAAGCCACUGCAUUACAAGCACCAUAUCCAAGUUACUCAAUUCGAACGGCAAGAAAUCCUCUACUAUAGUCAAUAUUAGCACCCCCGCAAUGAUCUCUUUACACAUUCCUUGACCUUGCACUACCUUUCCUGAGCCCAUAACGACGUCUAAUUGGUCGUCUUAGUCAUAGGUAGAUUAAGACUGUCCACCAAAUUCAAUGAAAUAAAGUUGUGAGUUGCUUCGCAGUCCACAAUAAUCACUAUCUAUCUGUCUUCCAUUGUCCCUCUAAUCUUAAACAUACUCGAUGAUGUAAGUCCCACAACCGAGUUCAAAGAUAAUUCCACGACCGAACUUACGUCAACCAUUGAAUCAUCAUGCUCUAUGUCUUCCAUCUCCGUGCUAUAAGACUCGUACCUAAGUUACGAGGCUAAUUUUCUUGUUAAGUGUUAAAUAGGCGUUUUGAAUGAAAGGAGGAGAAGAAAAUUUUAGGCUUGGCGAUGAAGCAAGAUUGCACGGUAAGUUUGGCUUUUGAGUCAGUCCGCGAGAAGAGUUAUGCGACAACCCUAAGAUUUGAAAAUUAAGAACCCAAUUGAUGAACCUCUAAUACCAAAUUUUAAAACCUACAAAUCAAUUUGACAACAAUCUAAAGGGAAGGACUAGAAUUAGAUUACAUUUUGAUCAAAGACCAAGAGAUGAGGAGAGAACUAGUUUCUCACUCCAAGUUCGAACACUCCACAAGUAAGGUGAUCAAACUUACUUGAAUACUUUUGGCAUGCAACCUUGAAUCAAGAAUUACAAAAAGUUGGUGAUGAAACUCUAUCAUCUACCAGAGAUUUUCUAUGGAAAGAACAAACCCCAAAACUUCAAUUAUCAAAAACUACUUUGAAACAACCUAAAGGCAUGAUUUAAAUAGCCUUCCAAUAAAACUCUAAUGCAUUGUGAAAAGACUAAAUUAACCCUACUUAAAACUUAUUAAAAAGGAUAAAAUUGAAAAUAUUAAAAUUACAUCACAAUUAUUAAAUAAAAUCUAAUCAAUAAUUUGAUGUGUGCCCAAUUCAUAUAGUUCUCUCUUUCUUUAAAAGGAUUUGUCAUCAAAUCCAAAUCAAAGCUUUAUAAAGAAGUCUUGAAGUCAUGUAAUGUCAAAGGUCAAUUGGUUUCAUCCUCUAUUGUCAACUAACUCCAAUUAUAAAUCUUCGGAUAAAUUGUUGUCGCUUGAAUAUCCUCACUUGAGUGCAUUUCUUUUUAAAUGUGAGAAUUCAAUGUUAAAUGUAAUUUCCUUUUCACUUCUUCUUCUUCAUUCGAAGACAAAAAAAAAACUGCGGAUGAAGAAGAAAGAAAGAAGCGCUAAAAUGUAAUUUCCUAGGAUAAAAAUUUGGAAAGCAAAGAAGAAUAAGAACACAAAACAGAGAAGAAGAAAUAAAGUAUGCAAAAUGGAAAAAGAAGAAGAUGGCAACACAAAAAAAAAACAAGAAAAGAAAAAGACGAGAAACGAGAGAAGAAAUGAAAAAAAGAAAAGAACAACAACUACAAAAUGAAGAAGAAAGAAAGAAGCUUUAAAGUGUAAUUUCGUAGAAUGAUGACAUUGGCAUAGGACAAAAACUCAUUUGUUUAUUUUAACUUUGGACUAUUUUUCAUUUGGACCCUUAAAAAUGACUCUUAAAACAUGAUUUCUAGAUAACUAUUUCCCCAACUUGCCUUCAGUUGAGCAUAGAUUAAGAUAUUAUUACUCAAUGUUUGAGUCUUCAACUGUGAUAAUAAAGUUUGACAUUUGUAUUACUCACUCUUAAAAAUGUUUGAGUCUUCGAUUAUUAUAAUAAUUCACAUUUAUGUACUAUAAAACUAUUUGAAAAUCGUAAUUAUCUAUAGUGUUUACUCUUUUUUGAUCAUCAUUUCUCCUCAUUUGUAAUCCAAACUAAAAUAGUAUGUACCCAAAACACAUAUAUUAUAAUAAUCAUUAACUAUGAUAAUCAGUUCAACGUCUCAAACAACUUUGUUACUACUACGUGAUUUUACCUUUUACCAAAGAUAAAAAAGAAAUAAUAAAUAAAGAUGCUUGAUGUGAUGUUUUUUGUUAGAUAUAGAUAGAUACAACCAAUACAAAAUAGUAUAUUUAUGUUCUUUGAUUUAAAAUGGUAAAUAAUAAUUUUGGAGAUGGUGAUAAAGAACGAGAAAAAUACAAUAAUAAGAAACAAUAAUGAGAAUAAGAGUGAGUAAGGUUCCACAUUGUAUUCUCAUUUGUUUACUAUAGCAAACACCAUGAAACACAUUGUAUUUUCAUUGUAUUCUAUUCUAUAUCUUUAGAUAUCAAUUUUAUGCAAAGCAAUUGAAAAAUUAUGGAAAUGAUCAGAGAACAAAAAAGUUACAAUUUAGUCUCUCUAAACUCAAAUUUGGAAAGGCUCACAAAUGUUUGGGAGUUGGAGUUGGUAAAGAAUGAUAUGGUUUGUGAGAGAAACUUUUGUUAUCAUUCUUGGGAUUUUGGAAAACAUAUUCUCCAAUCUUGACCGUCCAUUUAUAAACGAAUCCCCCUAAUCUACAUCUACCCACCACCUUCUAUUCUUCUACUUCCCCUUAGUUUUUGUUUUUCAGUAUUUUUUUUCCUAUUAUUCUUAAAAAAAACCCACCUCUUUUGAACAUCGAAAUUUCACACUUAAAUUUUUCUUCUUACAUUAAAUUUUCUUCUUACACUUUUUAAUCAGCUAAUUUAAAGAUAGUUGUAAAAAGAAUCGAGAAUACUUCUAACUUUACACUUAUGCUAUAGACAUAAUAUAAGAUUCAUUCUUUUUUCUCUACCCAUCUUCAAAAUCAAGAUUUAAAAUAUUGUUGUCAAUUAAAAUAUUGAGAUCUCAAUUCUAUAAAAAGUAUCCAUAUCCAUGGAAAUGUGGAGAAGCUUGUAUACAAAUCAAUGAAUGUGGACAAUAAUUGUUAUAGUUAGUUAAUGAAAUUUUGAAUAUGACUUAUUUAGGCUAUAAUUUAUCAUUUUUAAUCGUCAUUUCAAUAAAGUAAAACAAUACUUAGAUGUCUAUGAAGAAAAUGUAUGAGUAAAUUGAAUAAUUUUUUUAAAAAGAAAUAGAAAAUAGUUACAACAUGAUAUAAAAUUAAAAGUUAUUUUUUUUUAGUAAAGUGAUGUGAUAAUUAUGAAAAUUUUAGAUGGUAAAAGAAAAAGAAAUCAUAUCAAUUGAAUUUUUAAGGUGAAAUGAUGGAAAAGUUUUAAUGAAAAAGCUUAAGGUCACAAAUAAAAUAUAUUAUUUUUUAUGAUUUUUUUAGAAAUGAAAGUUUUGAGUUGAAAAUAAAGCUAAGAUUGAGAAAAGUUGAAAAUUAGAAAAAAUUGUGAGUCAUAAAACCUUUACUUUGGUAAACAUUUCAUAUUUUAUUCUUAAAAUUAAACAUAUUCUUAAAAUUAAACAUAUUCUUAAAAUUAAGCAUAUUUCCUUGUAAUUAUUUAUAUCUUUUUUGUCAAAUUACAAAAACAAAACUUAUUGAAGGCUAACUUUUUAGUUUUCAAAAUUAAACUUAAUUUUUUAAACCAUUAUAUUUUAACAAAGAAAGAAAAUUGGGAGUGGAAGUAGUAAACAUGGGCUUAAUUUUUAAAAACAAAACAAAAUGAAAAUCAAAUGAAACCUAAACAAAACUAUAACUAAUUAAAAUAUAUAAAAAAAUUCUAAAUCUCAAAAUUUCAUCAAAACGAGGGAGGAAUAAAAAAACACAAAAUUACAUUGAAAUCAAGAAAAAUACAAAAAUUUCCCUUUUCUAGAUAUCAAGCCUCUCAAAAUAUCGAUUGGAAUUUUGACAAUUCAACUGAAAUUUUAAAGCAUGGCCAAAAGUUUAACUAAAAAAUAAUAAUAAAAGAAAAAUUGGAAGUAAGAACUCAAGAAUUAUAGUACAAAAUCUUCAAUGGCGGUCAAUCAAUGAAAAAUAAAUUAAAAGUAAAAAGAUAAAAGUAAUGACAUUUUAAAACUUAAUAACAUAAUGGAAAGUAGAAAGGAAACUUAAAAUUCACAUACUACAGUAAGUAAAUGAUUGAUGAAUGAAGAAUAUCAAAGUCCUAUUUACAAUUAGAACCCAACUGAAAUGUGGACCAAUUAUUUAUUGCCAUGAUCAAAAUGCCUUAAAAUGAAGGGUAUUUUAGUCAAAGUCUAAAUGAAUUCCCUACAUUUGCAUCAACCUCUUCAAUAAAGAUAAAAGUUUCUAUAAAAAUCCAAGAAUGAUCGCUUAUUAGUACGCAUGAUAAAUGGGAUUUUAACAUAAUAAAUAGGAUUUAAGAGUCGGUAUAUUUCAAAAUAGAAAGCAAUAUGUUAAAUCAAAUAAAUAUUUAAUACCCAAUACGUUGGUUGGUGGAAGGUGGAAGGUAGAAGGAAGUGCAACAAUUUCCUUAAAUAACAUCGUGACAACUCAGAACAAUCACGGGUGUAAUUUUCUUUCUUAAUAAAAAAAUGAAGAUGAUGAUAAGACACCCGAGAGGAUGCCAUUUGAAGGGUCAAGCUCAAGAUAGAAAUGAGAUAAUGGCCAUCAGAAACUUUCCUGUAAUCCUUCUUCCUCAGCCGCUGCAAAGUCUUAAAUAUGUCCACAGCAUUGAUAUUUUGAAAGUUUUUAUACGUGUCAAAAAUUCAAUUUAAUCAACAAAGGUUGUAUUGCACCAAGUACAGAAUAAUCAUGCCAUGUACCAUAGCUCCAAUGAAGAACUCAGCUCUUUUUCCCAAUAAGGGACCAAAGAAACACGAAUCUGGAGAAUGGAAAUCCAGAACUUGAGGUAAUGGUAUUGGGGAGAAGGUGAUGGAUGCCAUAUUUUAUGGCUCCGGAACCCACUAAAGCGAUAACAACUGUGACUUGUGAUCAAUGCCAUUGAAUACAAAAGUUCCAGACAUGGGUACAAACUGUCGGGUGAUUAGCUGAAAAAAAGAGAACACGUCAUUCUAAGAGAAAUUUUAUGUCUAGUGAAACUCUAAACUUGUGUGUCUAGUAGAUUUAUAGGGACUAAUUUUAUAAGAUGCAAGUUUAGAAACCAAAUAAACAAAUGCACUAAAUUUGUAAUUUGUAAGUUAACCUGUCAAAUUUCAUUUUACUGGAAAUGAAGAUUAACAUUUUGAAAAAUUCAAUUCUUCCACUGGCGAUGAAAGUAUUGAAUCUUUACCUUGAUUACUUCUUGUGAUGCAAUUCCUCCAGUGAAGGCAGCGACGACAUGGAGCUCUGCUGCACCAAAUCGGCACAUCUCGUUAAUGAGGUCCUCUGAUAAGGUCAAGCCAUUGCAACCCAAAUCACUGAGUAGGCCAACGGCAGUAGUUUUCAAUCGAGAUAUGUCCUCAUCGAUCCCACUGCAAUGCAUCUCAAUUGAUUAAGAGUCCACGUCAAUAAAGAAGAAUAGAUGGCGGCAAAUGGUGAAAUACAUGAUCAAUUUAAAACACCAUCAGGCAUUACCCGUCAAAUUGCCCAGGAAAACUGUUGUAAUUGGCAGCAAAACGAUCAACAGCUCGAAGCAGAAGAUAAAAUCCAACUGCAACACUGGAAUAAGAGGAAUUAACAUCAAUAAACUGCAGCUAUUUGUACUGGAUAAUAAGAUGUGGGUGCAUAUAUGCCUUUCAAUUGGUUACAUUUUGCAGAUUAGCGUUUAAUUCUUCUUUUAAAAGAAUAAAUAAAUAAAAAUACACACAAAUAUACACUCAGUUGAAGAGAAGUUCCAAGAGCUUUAGUAAACAAAUGCGAAGAAAGGAAACCAUCAUAUGCAACAAAUAAUUCGUUGCAGUAAGUUUGGGUGCUUAAAUAAAUAAUGACACAGUGAGCAGACAACUCUCGCUAGUGCAAUUGAUUUCAUGAAACAACUCUCGCUAGUGCAAUUGAUUUCAUGAAACAACUCUCACUAGUGCAAUUGAUUUCAUGAAACAACUCUCACUAGUGCAAUUGAUUUCAUGAAACAACUCUAUCAACCGAAAACAAAUAAACCAGAAUCGGCAAACGCAUGUUUAAAGGGCAAACAUUUGUUUAGAAAAAACACCUGAAAUCCUCAUCCGUUAGAUACUUCUGUAGCUCAGGGACGAUUGGAGAAUUGAACUCAUCCUCAAGUGAACGAUAUCUACAAACCUACAAAAAUUUCACUAAAUCCAUUACAAAAGAAUACAGCUGAAUAUGUGCAAUGCAUGAAUCUAUCCAUUCCCAUUCAUUUGCCUCAGUUGAAGUAGAGUAAAAAUAAAUAUACUCAGCUCAGUUAUUAGGCACUACACAAUCAUACACGCAAAAAUUGUCUUAGCCAAGGGAGCUGUGUACAUGCGGAGGAGAAAUAAAAAUACAUUGGUGGAUUCCACGCAGGUAGUUUUUUAAUUUAUCAAGAAACAAAAAAUAGAAAGUUUGGCAAACAAGAUAAAAAUCAAUACAAUUUGAGAAGAAAUCUGUCCUGUGAUACAUCCAACUAGAGUAAACUUAACAAUGCUUUGACCACAUAUGCCAUGAUGGCGAAAUCAUAAUUAGGCUCUUUAAAGGAAGAUUCUUUUAUUAUCACGGAGAAUGACAGCUUUAAAUUGGGAGGACCCUGUCUUAUCAUCUUAGGAUACCAACAGAUGGUACAUAAAGAACACCAAUAAUAAUGAUUAUGAUAACAAUAGUCCAUACUCUCAGCUUUCUUGCAUUUUUACAGAAGCUUUUGACAGUCGUCUUGGAGAUGCUAUUUGGAUCUCUGCCAAUUUUUUUCAAAAUGUUCCUUGCUCUUUCCUCUAUUAUCUUAAAGUCAGCCUCUGCCUUAGCUUGAUAGAUGUUUUGCAAAUUAACAUAGUGCCUACAAGAUGCAGAAUCCAGCCCUUCAGUCAAUAAAUAAGAUGGUUAAAUUUCAAAGUACUGCCGAGAAAAUUGAGUCACUAACUCGGUUGAAGAUGUCAUAUCUGGUAUUGAUCCUUCCAUGGGUGCCUCACCACCUCCUUCAUUCACUAUGAACUCCUGCAGAUUAAUUAACAUUUUAAAGAAGAAAGGAGAACAAUUCAAGCUAAAAGUUCGGAAUGCCUAAGAUAGAAGUGAAAUUGCCAAAUCAAUAAAAAUGGUUAAACGGCCAAUUGUUUUAAAAAUACUUGAGAUCUUUUAAACUUCCAAUCCAAAAAUUUUUUCAUUCUACACAAAAAAGAGAAGAAUAGCAGUAAUAGCAAUACAAUAUAUUUUAAUACAAUGUUUCCUACAAUUUUUUAUCAAUAUAAAGAAAUAAAUAUUAAUAUAUUAAUAUUAUUGAUAAUAUUCCUAAAAAUCAUUUUCAGCCUUUAGUUAAAUAUAAUAAUAACAUAAAAAUGAAAUAUUGAUUCGUAAUUUUAAUGACAAAAUUACUUCUUUCACAAUAUACUUUGAAAAUUUUGGACGAUGGAAAUAAAUCAGAGGCUGGAGUUAAAUUUAUUAACGUAAUUUAACAGCAUGUUAAUUCAAGUUAGUCUGCACAUUAAUUUCCUGGUCCCUCAGAAGGGAUAAUGAGAACAAACAAAUAAAAACCUACAUGAAGAUCUUCCACGCCCUAAGGAUUGUUAGAAUCAAGCAAUACCCAAACAAUUCAUCUAUAAAAUACCUAGCCAUCAUAUUCAUUAGAAGAAUACGAUAGUUAAGCAAGAUGGUGGCAACUGGUCAUUUUUAAGAACCUCAUGUACUUUACAAAUCUGAUUGCCAUAAGAACUAAUGCCAAAGAAGAUCAAUUGUUGAAAUGUAACAAGUUGAAGAACUUUAGAAUUAGAAAACCUGGCUUCGUGAGAGAUAGAGCUAAAGUAAAAAAUAAAAAAAAUUCAGUAACCUUCAAAGCAGCCACUAAUAUCCAAAAAUCCGACGAAUUAGAAUCAACCUCAGCACAGCUAUCAUUAACUAUCUGUUUCAGAUCUGAACCUGAUAUGAAGAAAAUGAAAAACAAUAGGGCUCAUAUAUCUAAACAUCUAAAUAGAUCUGUCAACUUUUAGGUACAAAAAAGAACAGAUUUAAACAUAAACCUUAAAUACACCAUCAAACACUCCAGUUGACAACUGUAAUUACAUUGAAACUGAACCCAGACCUUUUUUUCCCUAAUGAGAAGCAGUUAACAUAUUUCAUUGAUAAGAAUUAAGAUGAAAUUAAAAAAAGGCAUGUGACGCCAUGAUGAUUACACAAAACGAUUCAAUUGUGCCGUGAGUUAUGUAAGACCAUAAUCAUAAAAGAGUAAGGUGAAUUUAGACUAUGUGAUAGAUAUAUAAGUAAGAUGUUCAAAGACAAAUGAAAAAUUUCAUCACUUUGUCCUCAAAUAUACAAGUGUUUCACUCAAGCUAAUAGUUCCAACUUCCAAACAAAACAUUUGAUGAAAAUUUGCCAUAAAACCGCUUUUUUCUUACUGAAAGGAUGUCCUAAGAAUAGUUUCAGGAGAACGAUGAGAGUCCCAUUCAGCAAAACCAUGUGGUAGUUGAAGGCAACCAACAUCUGGUUCGGAAAACAAAAGCAAAAUCACAAGUGACAAAAAGGUUCAUAAUGGACUCGUUGUUCUUGUGCAUAAUAGAUCCUAAGGAUAAGAAGUAUGGUUAAGAAAGACUUAAAGAGAAUUGAAAGAUACUAACUAUAUCAAUGAGAAACACUCUCAUUUUUGUUGUGGGAGCAAUCAUAGAACUCCAAAGUUAAUCAUGCUUCGCUUGGGUCAAUCCUAUGUUAGGCGACCUCCUGGGAAUUUUAGAUGCAUCUGUGGCUGAGUUCCCGUAGGAAAAUUUUAACUUUUUCCAUGGGACCUUUCCAUUUCUUUAAGUACAGGUCUUCGACGAGUAGGACAGGACACGACAAGAAGAAAGCUUAUUUGGUAGACUUUUCCAUGUGCUAACCUUGGUGUCUGUGGUGUCCAUGUACCCAGUCCCAAAACGGUACAUGUUCAAAUUUUCUAAAGUUAAGAGUUCAACAUUUAGGUAGAAUAAGUGGUGAUAUUCCACAAGUCUUUCCAUGACUUUCUGAAAUAGCUGGACCAUGUAAAAUGAAACUUAACUCUCAGAAGAGCUAGAGAUUAAAACCAGCUCCAACUUCCAAGAAAGAUGUAUAAUUUGUUUUUAUAUUUUCCUUUUCAAGUUCCAAUUGCCACAAGAUGGCACAUCUUUAAAUACAAAACAGAUGGUGGAAUUUAAGUAAGAGAAAUAAUAACAAUAAUAUCCACAAAAAGAUGUUUCAAAAUUUUAAAUAUUCUACUGCAAGCCUUAAAAGAGACUCUUAUAAUGCACGAGAUCUUUCUCUCAUUUUUAAAAGAACAGAUUCCAUGAACAUGGUGUUGAUAUUAGUUGGAAUAGCUGCAACCCAAUGAAAGAACAGAAAGGGUCAUCCCCUAGAUUUCACUAGCAAACAGGCAAACACAGAAAAGGUAAGACACUCUUUUGCACCUGUAGACCAAUCCAAAAACAAGCACAUGAGGACCCGCUGCCAAGGGUAACAAGUUCGAAUGAUUAAUAUAUAUGCGUGUGUUAUAGCAUAUAUGUAAUUGUAGGAGCUUGUUGGUCAAGUUCUUUAUUGUAAUUUACUAGUCUUUAUUUAGGGUUUCCAUAUAUGCCUAUAUACAUAUUAAAUUCUAUUGUAUAGAAUGAGGUGAGAAAGUUCUUCCAUAUUUUGUUCUAGCUUCAACAUAUAUGGAAGAAAAAAUGAGACAGAUGAAAACAAAAGGAAAGUUCAAAAGAAAAGAAAAAAGUUGAUGGAGGUCUUUACCAAUGACACCCAUGUGUAUGCCUGGAGAUGAAGCUUCGAGGAAGACAACAACGAUUCCUAGUAUGGUCAAAGAAAGGAAUUGCUGGAGACAUCGUAAAUUUGGUGAAGUGAAAAAUCUGGAAAGGAAGCUGAGUAGUCAUGGAGCUCAUGUGAGGGUGUAUCGUCAUGGAGAAAAUGGAACUAAAAGAAGAAAGCGCCUGAUGGAUGUCUUGGUCAACGAGAUUCAAGGAGAGGAACCAAGUAGAAGAUUUGGAAAAGAUGCUGCAGAUGCGGUGAAGUAGAGAAGAGAGAAAUGAUGAACAAAAGCUGUUGUUGGCAACAAGGGUUGGUUGGUUGGAGAUGAAAUUCGGCAACCUAUGAACCAUGAAUACUCCAUUUUAGGGAGAGUGUUCAUGGCAGAAACAGGCAUGUUCAAACACACUCUGGACAUGUGUCUGACACAAAUUCUUGUAUCUUGUUUUUAAUUGUUUAUUUUUAUUUUCAGACAUGUGAAACAUUUGGGACAUUUGAGAGGUGUUGAUGUAAACAGCAAAAGAAGUGGAUGGUUGGUCGUGAGGGAAAAAAAACCGAAAACCCAUGGGUUGUGAGGAAGAAGAAAGUGGGCUGACAACCAUCUUUUUAAGCUGGAAUUAAACAAGAAUUAUUUGAGGCCCACUGUUCUACAAAAGCAGAAAAAUGGCUAUAAUAUUGGAUUUUAGCUGCCAUAGUGGGUUGCUUUUACAGAGGUUUCUAGUUUUAGCCAGCAAAAAAGGAAACAAAAAGAAAAAGGCUGAUUGUUGUAAGCACAUGAACUUUAGUGAAUAAUUCCUUUAGAGAAUAAGAACUCAUUAAGAGAAUGGCUUUGAAACUCACAACCAUUAUCACUCCAUAGGAUUGCAAUCUUUAUAUUGAAUUGUGUUUCUAUGGUGUGAUAGAAGUCCCGAAAUGUGGAAGUGACUUCGGAUUUGUCGGGAUCAAGAAAACCCAAGUAAGACUAGUAUGGUCAUCAAUAAAGGUCACAAACCAUCAUUUUCCAGAGGAGGUAGUGACCUUAGAUGGUCCCCAAACAUCACUAUGGACAAGAGUAAGAGGUUGGGUUGGCUUAUAGGAUUGCGAGAGAAAAGAGACUUGGUAUUGUUUAGCCCGUAUGCACACAUCACAAGAUAAAGAAGAAAAUCAACUUUUAAAAAGGGGUGAGGAAAUAAGUAUUUCAUAUAUUUAAAGUUGGGGUGACCUAAACGGAAAUGCCACAACAUAUAGUCUUUUUCAGGAGUAGUAAAGUAGGAAGAUAAAGCUUAGUCCUAGAAAUGCUACUAGAGGAAGCAUGACCAUCAAGCAAGUAAAGUCCCCUAUUGUGUCAGACAGUGCCAAUCAUCCUCCCCAAGCUCAAGUCCUGAAAAGAAACAGAAUCAGGUAAGAAUGUUGCUUUGUAGUUUAAUUCACGAAUAAUCUUGCUUAUUGACAGAAGAUUAUAUGAAAUUCAUGACACAUGCAACACAUUGUGUAAUGAUAACCCGUCAAAAGGAGAAAUCUACCCUUUUCUAGCAAUGGGAGCCAAGGAGCCCUCAGGAAUUCUUAUCUCUCAUUCCCAGCACAUAGAUGUAGACACAAAGUGUUCAAACGAACCGGUUAAAUCAUCUAUGACUCCAUAGUCCAAAAUCCAGGGAUUUCUACCAUCAAUACUAAUGAGACUAAAGGACUGAGGUAUACUUGACUAGACAAUAGCUCAAGUGUGGUCAAACUAGUAGUCUCACUCACAUAGGCUCGUCUUGUGUUUUGUUUGUUGGUGCAAGAUCGUUUUUUAACUCUCAGGGAACGACCAUGCAAUUUCCAAUACUGCUCCUUGGUAUGCCACUGUUUCUUACAGUGUCCACAAGUAGGGAUCGGUUUUCCACUAUUCUUUUCACUAUCAUGAACGAGGAUUUUCACAUUGAAGGUAGCAGAAUCAAUAGCGAGGGUUGAUAGAAUACUUGUGGCACUUGUACGAUCCUCCUCAAGACAGACUUCAGAACAAACUUCCAUCAAAGAGGAAACAGGUCUCUAGCUCAAUAUACACCCUCGUACAACAUCGAACUUAAAGUGGAGACCAGCAAGAAAUUCAUAGAUCCGAUCAAUUUCCUCAAUCCAAGUGUUGUAUACCAUCAUUAAGACAAUUUCAAACAAUUUUCCUGCGCAAAUCCAUUUCCUACUAGAUAAGAGAGAGUUUGUUAAAAUAAGACGUCACAUCCAUUGUCCCCUGUUUAUAUUAGUAGACCUGUUUCUGCAGAGUAAAGCUGAAAGGCAAUCAAACGCUUGGAGAAUAGUCUGGGUCAUGUCCCAAAUAUCUUUGGUGGUUGCAGCAUAUAGUAAUGGCUUGCCAAUUUGGGGUUCCAUACUGUUGAUCAGGGUGGACUGAAUAAGAGAGUCCUCUCCUUUCCAGUGUUAUUCUGUGGGUCUCCUAGCGAGGGACGAGGUAUCUCUCUUGUUAAAAACCCAAACUUGUGGCGUCCUUCAAGAAUCAUUCUCAUAGAUUAUAACCAUGAAAAAUAGUUUUGACCAUUUAGGGGCGUUUGGGACGUGGAGUGGGUUAUUAUAAUCUGUGGUUAUUAUAGUUGUGAGUUAUAAUAGUUUGUAGGUUAUUAUAGUUUGCUUUUGGGGUGCAGAUAAUUAUAGUCUCGGUUAUUAUAAUCUAUGCUUGGAGAAGAGAAGAAUAGUGAAAGGGGGGAGUGAGGAAUAGUGACAUAGGAGAGAUGUGAGGGUGAGGAAUAGUGAAAGUGAGGUGUGAGAAAUAGUGAAAUGGGGGAGUGAGGAAUUGUGAUAGAUGAGAAAUAAGGGAAAAAGUAGAAUCUAAUCCUAAUCAUAGGAUUAUGGUAACCCCUAGGGCAAACAUGGAGUGGGCUAAACUAGCCCACUCCACUACUUCGUGGUCGGAGGGCCAAAUGUCCCCUUAGUUUCUCCCCUGAAAAACACCCUAGAGACCGUGCCACUGUAUUAGACACAUAAGAAGAGGGCAAAGCAGGAAACAAGGUUACCGGAUUCUCAUAAUACAUCAGAGUCAAGUGGGUGGUGGAAAGGGCCCCUAGUGUAGCUUCAAGUGCUAUAAUUUGUUGUCGAAGCAUGUCCAAUUGACGCUGAGCAACACCGGGAGACAAACCUUGAACAUGUUGUCGUGACUGCAUGGAAGAUUCACCCACCUCAAAAGUUGAAUGGGCUUGAGGGUUUCCAACCUCAGGACAGACACUAAGAUUUGCAGCUAAACCAGAAGUUGGCGGCUAGACAGAACCUGACGGUGGCACGUGUGGUAGUGCAUAGACUAACUGGGCAAUACCAGAAGUGGGUUUGUUAGAUUGCAUUUGUACAAGCGGCACUGCAUGAGUUAUGUACAGCCAGAACCAUUCAUCCAUGGCAACGCUAGUCCAGGCUUCAAUGCCAACGGCGACGGUGGCACUGAUGUUACCGGUUGUCUCUUCUAUUAGGGUUUCACCAUGUGUAAGAUUGUCUAGCUUUGAUACCAUAUUGAAAGUAGAGACGAAGAACAAACACAAUUUUACGUGGAAAUCCUAGUACAAGGAGAAAAACUACAAUGCUGAUUUAAUUUUAUUAUUUUCUAAUACUCAUAAAGAUACAAAAGGAAGUAUUUAUAGGCAACACGAGCCUAAUUAACAAAAUAAAAAAUAGGACAAAGUAAAUUACGUAACUAUCCUAGGGCUUUCAACAUGACCUAAGCCCAUUAUUUCUAACAAUUGUUUCUUUUUUCUAACUACACCUCGAGGAAAAGGUGCGCCUGAAGGGUGGGUUAUAAUAGAAAGGAAACAUUAUUCAAGAUAUAUUAAUAAUUAGUGAAAGAGUUGUAAGGAUAUUGGUUAUAAAUAGAGGGACUGAAGUAUGAGAAAAGGGGGAUAUUUUGGCGAGUGACUUAGGGCUUGAGAGAAUGUUCAAGAGAGGGGGGUUUAGGUACCUUGAACAUUUAAUCUUGUUGUUAAGUUAUUAUCAACAAUAUGUGGGUUCUAUAAGAGAACCAUCGUACGAGAUGUCUUUCCAUAGAAAUUUUCAAUAGUCUCCCAAUAACCCAUGCCACUUCAACAUGCAUAGGAAAACGACACAUGAAGUAAGAGGGAAGACCAAUAAGACCUAGCUUCGGUAAAAGAAAAUUGGAGCUUGCUCUCAAUUUUCCCCAAUACAGAACCCAAGAAGAGAAGAAGAGUAGGUUCUGGCUUACCAUUUAAAGGAAAACCAAGAUGGGAAAAUGCCGGAAAAGUUGUCCAAAUUUCUGCCCAAAAUACUGGAGCCCAUAAUAGACCAUUCUACUAAGCCAAAUUGAGCCCCUUCAUUAAGAAAUCAACUCAGACAAUUUGCAUAAGCAGAAGAGAGAGAAUCCACAGUCCAAUUCCACCACAGUUUUAUCUUCCCUCGCCUACCAUUAAUGAUAAUCGAACAAUUAAUGCAAAGGCUUUUUCAAGGUCUAAUUUAUUAAGGAAAAAAAACCUCUCGUUCUAGUUCUUUGUUAUUCAUCAAUAAGAUAAGCUCAUUACAUUCACUAUAGGAAGAAAUUUAAUGAUUUUCAACGAAAGAAAAUUGAGGGAUAGAGAUGGUUGAAGAAGAGCCUUCUUAAGCAUUCUAACGGACUUGGAAAUGAUUUUCUGUCAGCAUUAGUGGGAAUAGGGGAUGAAGUCGAAGACCAUUUCAGAACCAACCUUCUGUGGAAUGGCACAAUUAAAAAUUCCAUGGAGGACUAGAAGAAUGACACCACUCUCAAGCAAUCUUGAAAUGUCACCAUCCUCCAUAAUAUCAUGAUUGUAAGUGUUUUUUUUUAAACGGAUGCAAGCUUCUUUAUUAAUAAUAAUUUCAAAGUACAAGUCAUGCUUGUAAGUGUUUCAAUAUGUUUUAAAUAAUUCAGCAAAUAACCUAUCUUGACCUCGAGCCUUCUAGACACUGCUUUGCCGAAAAGAGAUGAAAUUUCAACAAAAGAAGCAGGUUGUGAAACAACUCCAAAAGGAAAGUGACACAACAGUAAGAAAGAACUUAUAGAACAUCUUUCACAGAUCAAUAUCCAAGACUAAGAGCAGGUUUGUCUUCCUAGAUUAAUUAGCCUAAAUGCUUAAAAAUGGCUGCUUACUGAUUCCACGAGGAGCAAAGACUUUGAAGGAAGCUUCAAUAGCUUCUUUGUAGUUAUCUUCAUCCAUAGCAAUCAUCUUGGCUUUGAGGAGAUCCUACAACGUCCGAGCCAACAAUUUCAGUAAUUAUCACCAAUCAAUGAUUGCAAAAAGGCAAAGGAAAGGAAACCUUGAAUGCUUUCUUUUCUUCUCGGCUUGAUGGUAAACUGCCACCAUGGCUUUUGGCCCACUCUUCAGCCAUCUUGACAAGAAUAACAACAUAUGGAGUGUGUUUGUGAGCAACCGGAUCGGGAGCAUUGAGAUCAAUAGUUUCAGCAAACCUGUCAUAGCCAUAGGUGAGUUUCUGUAUCUGAAAGAAUAGAACUUCUAUUUUCACAGCUCUCCGACCAGUGGCCAUACUUGAUAGUAAAUUCCACAGCUUAAUAGACCAAAAACCAAUACAAACAGACAAUAUUCAUAUUUUGAAAGCCAUCCUAUUAAAAAGAUGGAAAGGCUGUGACUGAAAACCCUACCUCCUCAGCUCUGGCCAUGGGUUAUUUAACCGGAGAUCAUCCAGAAAAUGAUCAGGCUUUGAUUCAAUGACAGUAUGCUCCUGAUAUGCAUGAAUAAAAUAUCUCAAUUUAGCACACUUGACUACAUACAAUGUUUUAUCUGUUGAAAUCGUGUAGGAAGAACUUAUUUUAAACAUUGAAACUGUUUGUGUAAGUACAACCAUAUUGAAAAUUGUGGCAGACAAGACCCCAAUAGAUAUUAAGUAGCUCACAUACAGGCCCAAAGAAGUGACAGUUAAGCUGUUUUGGGUCAGCAUUUUACCAUUUUGACCUGGAAAAGCUCCCAAUUAUGAGCCUCUAUUUCUCCAAGUUCAAGCUAAGCUUCACAACUAGUUAUUUGAUAUUUAGCCACAAAUUAGGUAAAUAUACAUAAUAAUUGAAAAUGAUAAGUUCAAGAUGAGCUAGUAAAGGAUCCAGAUUAGUCAGCUAUCAUGUGUCAGUUUCUUUAUCUUUUAUCCCAUAGAUGUUAUUAUAAAUACUUUGAUCACUUCUACACAUACCACAUGAUUGUUUUUGUGUAUCUAAUAUAAUUUUCCCAUUGAUCAUAGUUUGUCCAAGAUUGGGAAACUGAACUACCAUUAGCAAUACUUUACCUUCAAACUGAUUCUGACAAGCCCAGUGAGGCCGUAGGAGCGUGCAACGACCAAUAUGACAUUUGCAUUCCUACAGAUUUUAUCUAGCUUCACAAUCCACUCCUCAACCAACUGAAUAAAUUCAAAGUGACCAUUAAAAAGGGCAAUCUAAGAUAGUAAAGAGCUAUAUAAGUUUCUACCUGACAUACAAGUAGCAAAGAUGGAAACUUGCAACAUAGAUACAAGUAAAUCCUAAAAAACUACCCCAUAUACGUCUUUCUUCCCAAUAAAACCUUUGAAAAUAUUUGCAUACCAUAACAGAUAAGAGAACAUGAAUAACCCAAAAACUCACUAUUUAUUUUAUAAAAGAACAAGAAACAACUUCUCAUUGAUGUAAUGAAAAGGAAUAAAAAACUAAAAGAUACAUGCUUCCAAAAGAAGAGAAAGAAAAGAUGUGAACAACAAAUACACCGCAUAGGAGUGUCAGUAAAUAUCAUAGUCAAUAGGUUAUAGUAGUUUGUUUCCAGGUGCAGACUAUUUUAAUUUGGGUAAGAAAUAGUAAACACCGUAAUAAAAAAAGAAAGAGAGAAUUAGUAAAUAGUAAACACAGUAACAAAGAGGGAUUAGAAAUCGUAACAUUGAAGUCAAUUGUUGGUAAUAAUAGUUGCAAACACCAACUAUUAUAACAAGAGUCCCACUAUAGCCCACUCCAUCCACUUGAAGUUGAGGGUAAACACUCCCAUAAAGAUAAGCUUAUAAACAACUACAAACCAUAUGCCUCCUUCAAAUAUUGACAAACAAAGGCUACUACAAAACCAUCGAAACCCAAAAACAAAGACCAUCAAACAACAAAGAGCAAACUAAAAACACAUUGACAAUGCAUGAAACAAAAACCCAAAGAGAAGCUUUUGAAGAAUCCACAUCAAGAAUCUUGAAAAGAAACUCCUACUUAACGCUCAGAUACCUUCCGACAAGAGAACAAAAUAGAGCCCAACGAGAGAUAAUAAACUGUAACCACUUAGAUCUUCCAAAAACAGCAAACAAGAUUAGAACUACUCUCUUCCAAGCAACCUUAGAUCAACAAGAGGGGAUAAAUGAUGAAUUUCUUUAACAACACCAAAAAGAGACAAUGAAAUUUUGUUGAGUGCCAGCCACACAACAAAAAAGCGUAACCUUAAGGAAAAAGAAUCAACUUCAAGGCCCUUUAAUCAACUUUCAAUUUGCUAAUAAGAGAUUCAACUAAAAACCAUCCAUCGUACAGGUUUGAAUUUGUUAGGUGUUCUUGGGUUACUAAUUUCAGAGAUAAAACUAUCUCCCCUCUUGUUUGUAAUCAUGUGAAGGGGAAGCAAGAACCCUUUGGAUCACAUUGUUAAGUUUAUGAUUCAGGAAAUUUGAUAUGGAAGAAAGAAAAACAUCUCUUACGGAAAAAAAAACGUAACAUUGGGAAGAAAGCUUUGAACCAAUCAAGGUUCAUGCAGUUUUUCAGUGUCUCUCUCAAAACUAUCCAAAAGUAUUCCAUCCUUGAGAACUUUGUGUUUCUUACAAAUAAUGAUGAUAACAAUAAUUUUACAGUGGCAACUAAAUGGAAUACAACACAAUCUGAGUGAUAUCAAAAACCAUUUGCAUCAAGGGCAUUUUAUAAAAAUGACAAGUCACAGGCAUGAGAAAAACCAAAAAUUCCAGCAAAAUGGAGCAACAUCAAGAAAAAUAAUGAGUGUGAAUAUCACAGCACCUGUGUAGCAACCACUAAUGUAAAUUGGGAAAAGAAUGAUGGCCUUGUUUCAAUUAACGCCUCUGGAUACUCUUCUAUGAACUUUGCUUUUACAGCAUCAUUUAGCUCUUGAAGAAAUGCACAGACACACUUUGCCUUCGACUGCCCGAUACUUGAUUCAUCCACUAGAAACAUAAUUACACAAAACAAGGGAAGCCUUAGUUGAUAAUUCAUUUUUUCUUUCGGGACAAAAGUGGACAUAGCUCAAGAAGUACUAAUUAGAAUUGCAGUAAAUUAUUCAAAUACAUACGGACUGCAGAACUGGAGAGAAGAUUCAUUUUAUUGUUGACAAAAUGAUUUUUCAAAAAGUUACUUCGGAAAGGCAAUUGCUCAAUGCUUGAUAGUGCUCCAGGCUCCAACAUGAUCGACUUACAUACAGAUUUAUUGAGCACAUAAAAAGAUCUCCUAGAUCCAUAGGCAAUUACUAGUAACAAAUAGGGCUCCAUUGCCAAAAGCAACGGUGGCAUACUACUAACGUACCCAUGAAGUUAUUGCCAAGGUCGCCCUCUUCUAUCUUUGUACCAUCAACUAUAGUGAUGCUUCCAAUCCCUCCAAGAACAAGAUUUUUCAAUGUCUCGGAACCUGUAGGCCCGCAGUUGAGAAGACAAAUACUCGCUUUUUCAAGGGCUGCCUGCCCUUGAUCACCCCAUAUCCUACAAUAUCACGGGAUAAAAGCUUUCAGAACUUAAAGGUAAUAAAGAUGAUUAAAGUUAGUCGAACGAGUUAUCCAAUAGAUAACUUUGCCCCAAAAAAGAGAAAAAAAAUGCUCUAGAUAACACAUUUCUCAAAAGAGACAAUACUUCAUAAAAACUAAGUUGGCGUAACAAAGUGGGAAAAUCCUAAGCUUGGAAGUAAAUUCGUUAUUCAACAAGUUAGACAUCGCUGAACAAUAUAUAUCUACAAUAAAAGGAAAAAAAUCUGCAAUCACGGAAAUUCCAGCAAUUCCUAUCAAAGAAAUCAAGAAAAACAGAAUGUCAGUAGUCAAUCAGCUGCUGAGCAACUAUGACGUCAAGAAAUUACAAAGAGCGCGAACUCAAAUGCGGACUUGUUCUUACACAUCAGCGGUUCUUCUCUUUCGGUAGACGAAAAAACAAAUAAAGCUAAACAGAAAUUACCGAGAGGAGAAGUAGAAACGACUUGAAGAUGGAGUAAUAGUAUACUACUGGCACAGAGUUGGGGGGGAAAACGGAGCAAGAAGAUGGAUACAAAGUAUCGAAACACGAACAGAAGUUCAACAUCAAGGAAUGAGACAGGCAUGAGAGAUAAUGAGCAGGACCUGAGUUGGCGAUCGUAUUUCACUUUGGGUUCCGCCAUUUUCUUUGUUUCGCACGCUCUGUAUUCACUUUCCCCUUGCUGUUAUAAUGUUGUUUCUUAAUCUUGGCGUCAAUGAAGCUAUUCUGAAUCUGCGUGGGAACGACGCAGUGAAGACAGGUGAAGAAGUUAGUUCAAUUUAGACGAAAUAGAACAAGUGAACAGUACAGCGCAUGACCUUCACCAUCAUCGCCGCAGGAAAAAUGGAAUCAAAAGAGAUGGGGAGAGAGAGAUUGGCAGAAAAAACAUUGAAAGAGGAGAAGUGUCACGGAACGACGGUCAGCAGAGGGGAGUGGGUGAAUACUGGAAGGCGGCGCUGAGUUGUUGCGGUUGUUGGUUAUCGAGAGAGAAGAGAGAAGAGAGAAGGGAGAGGAGGAGCUUACCGGCAGCGAACAACGACUGGACUCAGGCUGGUUGGCAACCGGUCGGUGCUACCUGUGGCGCUGCCUUUUGGUGCUUCUUUUCACUCAAAUGUUUACUCUUAAUUUAGGGGAGAGGGUUAAAAGUUGCCAAAGGGACGACAAUAUUUACUGAGAAAAAAACUUAAGUCUAUAGCUCUAUGGGAUCGAGAUUACUUAAUGUUAAAACAAACUCUCCCAUUACCUAUAUUAUUUACUUUAAAACUUUUAAUUUGGUAAGGUAUUUAUCAUAAUAUUUACUCUUUCUUAUAGUUUUACAAUUUAACAUUAUCGUUUUUUAAAGUACAAUCUUUACUAUUUUUUUUAUUAAACUAAAAUAAUGUAAUCACUAAACACAUAAUAUAUCCUACAAACACAAACUAUUCUAAUCAAAUUAUAAUAUUCUAAGGCUAUAUAACAAUCCACUUCUUACCUCCAGAUAUCCUUUAAUAGUUUGUUUCUUUUAUUAUUAUUAUUAUAGUUAUGGAAAAACUCAUUUAUUUAUUCUUUUAGAUAGGUGAAUUUAUGACUUUGUCCUUGAUUUAAUUAACAUCUAGGUUUGAUGGGUGUGCUUAUAACAAACCAUAUAGUUUAUGGGUUAUUGCAAUUUUUUUAGAAUAAAUAUGGAAGAUGGUGUUGAAUAAUUGAGAUGGCCAGGCAAAUCAACCAUCAAAGAGAAAUGAGAUGAUGCAACCGAAGAGGAUGGUACCCCAUCUAACUCACCUAAGAUAAUUGAACAAACAUGUCAGUAUGAGUUAUACAAGCAUAAGAGUUGUCAUUAGUGGUGUUAGUGGAGCCAAAUACGAUUUCAAACCAUGAUCUUGGAAGUCAGGGUUUUGUCAAGAGUUUUGAUGAGCUACUUUGAAGUUAGAUGCAUAUUGAUGAGAUAAGCAUGCACGAUAGCUUUCAUAUCAAUUGAAGUUCAAAUAGGUUGGUUAGGUUGGUAAGUGACUCCUUGCUAAAUUCAUGUGACAAUGUUAUCAUAAGUGAUUUUACUCAUAAUGUUUAUAGGAGGAGACAUGGUGCCAACUUUCCACUAUCUUGGGCCUCGUGAUCUAAGUGAGCUCUCACAUGACACAUGGGUGCGUCAAUGUGUUACAAACUUUACUAAGCAAGUAUAUUAGCUAGGUGUCUUCCAUCAAGAAUGAGAUAUUAUGGUUACAAUCACCAAGAUUAUCCCCCCCCCCCCCAUAGGUUAGAGGUUUUAGUAUAGUAAAAAAAUACUAUUUGAUAUGCAAUUUUGACUCGUCGUGGAUAUGAGAGGGUUCAUGCUUCAAUAUGUCCUGUUGGAUGGAUGUUUGAUAAGUCUUGAGUUGGAAAGUUGUCCAUGGAUAGACUCGAUAUGUGUAUUCAACUAGGAGAUUGAAAGUUAAUGGCAUCGUGGCAAUCAAUAUGACAUCAAGAAGCAUCAAUGCAUGAGACUCGAUAGUUUUGGGCGGCAUAGUACUUGUCUUAGUUGUUUGGUAAGUAUUGCAAUCAUCAUCUAGUAAAGUCUGAUAAGCCCUAGAUGAAUAGAAUAUUCAUGUUAUAACUUUAAAGUUUACCUCAAAAAAAAAAAUAUAUAUAUAUAUAUAUAUAUAUAUAUAUAUAUAUAUAUAUAUAUAUAUAUAUAUAUAUAUAUAUAUAUAUAUAUUUCAAAUGUAUUAAGUAAUUUUAGGAUUUGAAGAUUAGUGAGAGAGAUUUUGUUACUCACAAUGGGUUAACAUAUUUUAGUAGCAAAGAAACAUGUUGCAAGUGUUAAAUAUUAUUGUUCUAACCCUUAAUCUCACAUCUACAUACACUUUCUAAGGAUAUAGUUUUUAAUUUUAGAGAAGUCCAUUUAAUCUCAAAUUUAAUGAGUAUGCCAUGAGGUUUAAAAAGGUUAGUUAGAGAUAUUAUUCAAUAUCCUAAUAAGUUCAUAUGAAUUGAGUAAGUUCAUGACUGAAUCCUCAAGUUUAUUUUUUAAUUAGUAUUUUAGAGUUUGAAGAUUAAUUAGUGGGAGAUAGUCUUCAAUUCUUUAUAAUGAUCAAAUCAUUAAGUAGGAACACAAUUUUUUGCCAUACAUUACAUAUUCUUAAUAACCUAAGCUACCCAAGUUUAAGUAUACGUGGGCUCUAAAGUUUAUGACUUAUAAGGAGAAAAUCUUCUAUUCCCUUUGGGAGUUGAUAUCAUGGGAUAAGAGAUGGUUUUGCCUCGUAUUAAAUGUUUCUUAACCUAAUCAUCAAUUUUGAUUUAUCACAAAUCUUAUGAGCAUUAUGGUUGCCAUGGAAUGGUCCGACGAUCACAGUAGAAAGGAUCGUCUUAAAAUUGUUGUAGCACUGAUAACGUGCAGAAAUGACCGUUGUUAUAGCCCCUUUUAUGAAAACAAUGAGAUCAAAACACAUAAGAAGAUGAUCAGAAUGUAUGACUUAUGUUGUAAAUGCAUAAGUAUUUAGAAAUACAGCUUACAUAAAUAUGAUUCCUGUUUUACGCGGUUAUCAUGUUUAAACUCAGGAGAAGUUGGAAAAGAAGAAAAGAGCAGCACAUCUCGCACAAAGGUUAUGCGAUGGGAUCUAUCUUGACGAUUAACAACCUCAAGCAAGAAACCAAGACAUCACCCUAGAAAAGCUCACAAGAAGACAAGGAUGGUAGUUGAAACGAUGUGACCUUAGAGGGCCAGAUGACAACACUAACACACUUAGAGGAAUAGAAGUUUUUCGUCGAAAAGAAAUCUAUACAAGCACUUCAGCUCCAUCAAGAAGAAGAGAGGGCCCGAAUAAGCCGAGAGAGUCUGUAUAUAGAGGGAGAGAGAGAGAGAGUGAGCUACCUCGAGAGUAUGACGCCGUGAUGAAGAAAAAGAUUAUUUUUGUUGAUUUCCUAACUUGUAGUAGCAAUCCACUUUCUAUUAUUCCCAUUUUUAUUGUUUUCAUUUAUAUUUUAUUCCUCAGAUUAUACAUACUUUUAUAAACCUAUACUCACAUUCUUUGAAAAAUUUAUAUGAUCAUAGUCGUUUAAUUCAUUAUCUCUCCUCUCCUUCAAGUCAACAUGUUAUCAAUAGUUUGAGUAGGUAAUAGUAUGAUAAGAAGAGUCACUUAUAAAUCUUAACAUGUUAAUUGUGUUUUUGUGAUUGCUUGGCUAACAUAAGUUGCUACCUACUCGAGAGGAAAAGUAGUUAGAACUUAAUUAACACGCAUGAAGAGGAACUUUACCUCUCCGCGAAAGUGUUUCUAACAUUUGGAUCCCGAAAGGAGGACAAGUGUGGACGAUAGUUAUUGAGAAAUAACCGUCCUUAAUCGCGAAAUACUAUAAGAUGCAUAAGGAGUUUCUUCCAAAUAUAACUCACUUAGCCACAUUUGGUCACAUAGAUCUCUAAAAGCAGUCGUGUGACAUAUAUGUAUUCGAGAGAAGCAUGCCUUAAUCACAAGUGUGUCUUAGCAAGUUAGAUCGCGUCAAGGUUAUCUCUCUACUUAUUCAUAUGAUACCACGCGUGCAUUCCUACCUGCUUUUUCCUAAUGCAAGUUAGAUGCAUGAUUAUAUCUUUCUCUUCACCUCGCUUUACAAACUCUCGUUGUAUAAUUAGCCAAUUAUUACAUUUGUUAUUCUUUAAUUCUUCCAACUUGAGAGUAGACCCUAGAACUAACAUCUAAAAACAAUUCAUGUGUUUGACCCUAGAUUACCCAAGUAAAACCUACUGUUUCGCUUGCACUUGGGCAAACAGUAGAAAAACUUAUACUCAACAGGGACUUAAAAAUUACGCGAUGAAGAGGUACAUUGUGACCCUUUCACAUGAUUAUAAUCAUGGCCUAUGAAGUGUUGCUUAGAAUAAAAACAUGUGGUAUAGAGAGUUACAGUGAGCGCGUUACACACAAGAACUUGACUCGAAGACGUAUUGCAAUUGUAUUAAACAUAAUUGAAAUUAUUAAUUCCAACUCACAAACCAGCCAAGCACCUCGCUUAGAAGGAAUUGUAAAUCACCUAGAUGUGUUAAGGGGUCUUGAUGCCUAGCAAAGUGCGAGCUACUUUGUCUUGUAUCUUGUGGAAUGUAUAGGCAUCUCACAUGGUCAAGUUGCUAAAUGAUCUCGCCUUUUAAUUACCUUGUUAAUGAUCAAACCACCAAGUAGACAAAACGCCUAGCUAUAUCGCUUGGUCAAAACGCAAACUACAAAAUAGAAACAAGUGAGGAAAUGGCCAAGUCGUGGAUCUUGCUCUCUUUAAGACGUUUUGGGGUUCUGCUCUCUUUGUGCAAACAGUUUGAUCGUCCCGUCAUCCUCAUGAUAAAACAACCUUGUUUUUCAAUUAGUUUUGCAGCGAAACUAAUUAGAAUUCACAACACUCAAACAACAGACACUCAAUUGCUCGAAAUACUGGAAGAGAGUUUUUUGGGAGAGAAAUGAUCUCGUGUCCUUUUUCGAAGAAUGAGACUUGAUAUUUAUAUAGGUGAGGGUGAAGAGACCAACGGUCAUAUUAUCAAUGAGAAAGGAAAAUCGAGGAAAACGGUUUAUAAUAAAAAAAAAAACGUUUGAAGAUAGUUUUAGCAAAAAUAUAUACAUUAUUAUUUUAUUCCUCCUCUCCUUACCACCCUCGACCGACGAUGCGUGCUUGGAGAUAUGAGUAUAUCUACAUUUGCCUAUCUUCUCACCCUUUUCAAAACUCGGAUGUCCUUAAGGCCCAAACCCAUGAAUUGAUCUAUGAGUUUAUAAAUGAGACUUCCACAUUGCUUAGCAAUGUGGGAAUACAAGUUUUGAAUAAAUAAUAAUAAAUAUUUUCGUUCUCAAUUUUUUAUUUAACACUAUGUUUGUUGGGUGGUGUUGCAACGCUUGGGGUAGCAUUGCAACGUUGCCUUAUUUCUAGGUACAUGUUUGUAAUUUCCCUAUUUUUGGUCCCGACUCAUCUUGUUAUUCACUUUUAACUCCAAAACGAUCCAUUUAAGCUCCAUUUUUUUAAUUAUCGUUGAAUUUUUUCUCUUGUGAUUUUUGAACCUAUUGAUAUGAACCAAAAUGCCCUUGUGUUAUCUAUGGGAUCAAUCACAUGUCCAAGAGCAAAAAAAAAAAAAAAAACUACUGUUAGCAUUGAAUUCACAUUCAAGAAGAGGUGAACUCAAUUGGGGAGAUUCAAGUAGCAACAAUUGUUUAAAAGAUUUAUAAUUGGAUGUUUACACUACAUUAUGGAAUCAAUUGAGCUUUCUAAUUUAUUUUACUUGGCAAAAACAUAUCUUAUUUUUUAAAUCUUAUUUUUUAGUUUUUUAUUGGACCCAUAUAUGUUAUUUGAGUUUUAGUUUCUCUGAGUUAGGGGUAAAAAUUUUAUUUCCUUUCUAUUGCAUUAGCCUAAGUUUAAAGUAUGGAAACAAACAUAUUAAUGGUUGAUAUUUUCAAGAUUUAGGCUUUUCUAUCGAUGGAAAUUCUUCCGUAGACGACAAUAAAAUUUCAUUUCUUUCGUAGACGACGAUAAAAUUUCAUUGUCAACUUUUUGCAAUUCUUUUUUUAGGGUUGCAUGUCAAGAACAUUUAAAUAAGUUUGAUCAUCUUAUUUACUUAUGCAACAAAUGAUCCAGAGAAGGAAGUUUAAUAGGCAACAAGAACCAAAUUGAAAAAAAGAAAGAAAGAAUAAUCUAGGUAACAUAAAUUACAAAACUACCAUUGAGCUUUGAACACACAAUGAACCCAUUAAUUCUAACACUUAUUAAUGUGGUUAAGCAUAAGGCUCCUGUUUUGUUGGAGUUGGCAAGAUUUGUUGAUGAGAUUGUGAAGUUAGUUGUAAUGGUCAAUGUUGUCUCUUUUGAUUGGUGUGCACAUAAUACAAAUGGGAUGGCACAUCCCCUGCCCCAAGUCACAGUGUGGUUUGGUGAUUGGGUUGAUUUGUUACUACUUCUUCUUCUAACUCUAAGAUUUGUGUAGGUCUCCUUGUAUUAUUCUGAAAUCAUGUCCUCCACUCUUAUUGAGGAGUAUUUGUGGUGGACGUGGUUAGUUUCUUAUAAUCAAUUGGCUUUUCACAAAAUAAAAAUAAAAAUAAAAAACAAUAAUAUAAUAAAUCAACCUGCUUUGUUUCAACAUUCGAACAUAAAAGUACAAUAGAGAAAAAAGUGCAUAAAAGCAUAUUCUAAAGUUUACGUAUCGAAAGAGCUGUAGCUUAAAGAAAAUUCCGGAUACGACACAACAAUUAAAAGAUGCCUUUUCCUUUCAUUGCACAAGCAUAGACCUCAGAAUUUCUUCACUCAUUUUCCUUGUGAAUGCAAACAAAUGGCCUGCACCAGGCAACUCAUGGUAAUGGAUCCAAGGAAGUUUUUGAGCGAUAUAACGUUGUAGCUUAACAGGCACGAGUUGGUCAUUGUUGCCGUGCCAUAGAUGAACGGAUCCUUCAUUCUUAGGAAAUAUGUUUUCAAGAAGCAUCGGGUCGAAUUCCCAUUUCCCAAAUCCGAUCAUCAGGUCAAGGUGGAAGGAUUCAUAUUCUCCUUGUUGCUUCACAUAUUCCUGCACCCAUCAAGACAGAAAAAAAAAAGUGAUGCAGUUUGUUUAGGAAGAAUUUCUAAAUCUAAGAUCUAACCAUAAUUUAUAAUUAUACGCAAUGAAAUCAAAGUCUCAGAAGAUAUUUCUAUUUCAAUGUUUGUCUGUCUCAGUUGAUUGAGCGGAAAUCAAGUCAUGAAAUGAAGGGGUAAUUUCAAGGGAAGAGUCAAAAUUAGCUAAUUGAAAGGGAGUAAAAUGUUGAGUUCAAAAGGGCUGUUCUUAUCCUGGAAACAAGUUACAAGUCACGACGGCAACAGCACAAAGAAAGAGAUUGUAAAGCUCUAAGAAAGUCUAUCCUAACAUGCUCCUAACUACAUUGUUUGUCCUAAAAAACACUUGUAUAAAGAUUCAGAAAGUUGCUAGUACAAAAAAUUUCUUGUAAUAAAGAAGCAAAAAUCGGGUUUAGAAACACUAACGACAAAAUUCUAACAUUUCAUUUAUCACCUUGUUUUUAGUUCAACGUUUGGGGUUGGAGAAUUCGAACCUAUGAUCUCUUUGGAGAUGUAUGGACAUCUAGGUUGUUCUAUCUUAUAUUAUUGUCUCUCAUUUUCUUUCAAUGUUUCUAACUCUCUUGAGUAAGAUUCUUAAAAACUGUUAAAGAAACUUCAGACAUCUGGGAACAUGAAGAGAAGUAUGUGUCAACUACAAGACUUUCUUAAUAAACUUGGGCUUUCUUGAGGACUCCUUGUCCUCUCUUUUGCAUCCUUUUUCUUUACAUUAUAAAAGGUGGUGCCUCCUAAUCCUUUAAAGAAGUGUGAAAGAGGGAUUGGGAAAUCAACAAGAAGAAGAGAAUCAUUACCCGAUCCACUGGCCUUUGAGAAGAGCGAAUGAUUUCAAGAUCUUGACUGGAAAGGAUCUCAUGCCUACCGGAUAAAAUGCUCAAGGCAGGAAAGAGUUUCUGAGUGUUCCACCAAUAAGUUAGCCAUGGAAGAUGAUGAGCAACACGUUGUGUCCACUGAUCCUGUGGUAGUUGGCUGGAAAAACCUUCCCUGGACAAGUUUGCAGGAAAACUAGGCCACCAAUAGUUGAUAACUGGACAAAGUAGAGACGCUCCUGCCAAUCUGCAACCAUCCAAAAAUUGAAUCUUCUAUAGCAGAGAUCAGGAAAAAAAAUUAUCGCACCCCAUAAUUAUAGUGAUGACUACAGCAUUAUAAAUAAUUAGUAAUAGCUAUAUAUGGUGAUGCUCUUGAAUGAGUUCGUGAUUUGCAAGCGCCACACACAUUUGUUAUAUGUAUAAAUGUAUGAAUGUUUGCACAGAAAUCAACUUCUCGCAGCAAGAAGACAAUAAAGUGAAUUGAGUUCAAAUAAUACACUCAGACCAACUGUUUGGAACUCAAGGACACGAUUGUACAACCUAUAGAACAAAUCUUGUUCAAGUAAGGUCGUUACACUUAACCAACUAUAAAAUGCUUCUUACAAUCAUCAAUAGGUUGUACUUGCCGAGGAGGAAAAUAUGGAAGAAUUCUAGGUUUAACAAACCAAUAAGCAAAAAUGUGUAGUUCAGUGAUGGAUACCUAUGUGGGAUAUACUUAAGACAACCCCAGACAGCUUGGCCACCCAUUGACAAGCCAACCACAUAAAACUUAGGACCCAGUCCCAGUUUAUCACCAAGUUCUUCAACAUCCAAUGCUAAACUCUUUACCGUUCGCUUUCGAUGCGGGUCACUUUCUCCAUAUCCAGGUCUAUCAAAAGAGACAACAUAAACUCCGAGUUCCUCAAGAAAGCCCUGAAAGAAAAUCACCAAAGAAGAAGGAAAUUAACCAUCUUAUUUGAGUUGCAACAACAUUGAGGGAAAUAAGUAUUAAAAAUCCACGUUGAGUAGAAGCUGAAUACUGGAGAAGGAAAAAUUCCAACUGCUGCAUCAUGUCUGCUAUUAGAAAAGCCAUGGAUAUAUAUGAUCUUAUACUUGGCAACUGUUAUUGGGACACCAUGCUCCUUAUAAGCCAAAUGCCUCCCAUCUCUAAGUUUUAUUCUCGGUGCAGUUAUCGGCGGACCCCCAACAGAACCACAGACUUUAGGAGCUGGAGGACGAAAAGCUGAAAAUGCCCAUGCCGAUAAUCCAAUCAAAAUGACGCCUACAAUUCUUAGGUACAUCCCUGAGAAUAAAAACAAGAAUCUUCAAACUUAAGCUUAUUUGGUUCCAGUAUAGAAAGUUUUCCAUCAUUAACUAACAGAAUCAACACAGAGACCGAUUAAACACAAGAAGAUUAGAGGUUUAGAACCUAUUAAAAACUUCUUAAAAUACAUAAACGAUUUCAAUCCAUGAGGUUUAGAAUGUAAACAACAUCCCAAUCAUCAAAGGAUUAUCAUAUUAAUGUUGAAAAUUACAAAACUAGAAAUAAGAGGUAACAUUUUCCAUAUUCCUGCAGAAUUACUUUACAGAAAAAAUACCGAAAACGGAAAUUUCCCCAAAUGCGAAAAUGAGAAAAAGAUAAGAAAAUGGUAUAAAAAGGAAGAAAAGAGAGAAAAACCUUGGAAGUGUCGAGAGGUUCAGAUGAGUAAACCAAAAAUGUUUGGCAACUAGUUUUUUGAAGUGGGAAAAUGAAAAUGAUGUUGAUAGUAGUUAGGAAAAAUUAAAUAUAGUGUGAGAAGGAAAAAUGUAGGUAGGCAGCAAAGUGUGCCAUGAUCUAGGGCAAGGACGGAAAAGAAGGCCAUGAGGAAAUUGAAAAGGGAACAAACAAACAAGAGGCGCAGAAUUAGAGAAAUUGAACCUUAGAAAUUUGUUCAUUGUUUUCAUUUUUCUCUCUUACAACUAGGAACGAAUCGUAAACAGACCCAACUACUCUAUCCGUACAACUUCCACGUAAGAACGAAAAUCACUCCAUAAUAAUAAUGAUUUUCAUUUAGCUUAGUCAUAUAAUAACGUUUUUGUUUACUAUUUUAAAAUGAGAAAUAGAAGUGUUCCAACUUUGUUUACAUUUUAUUUUAUAUCAUUUCCUACUUUUACUUAAAUAACGAUCAUUCGUGGAGAGAUAUGCCUGAAACCAUUUUUAUGUCCUUGCUUUCAUUUUCAAUCUUAUGAUUUUGAAUUCAUUUUUUUCUCCUUAUUACUUUUUUAUAUUUAUUUUUCAUAUUUAAUGUUUAAUAUUUCUUACUUUAUUUUAUUUUUUACUUCCAUUAAUAUUUUUUUCAUAUUUAUAUGUUUAAUUUAAUUUUAAAUUUUGAAAAAAUUUAAUAUUUAGAUAUAUGUCUUAUUUGAUUUUCAAUUUUCAUAUUUAGUUUUAAAUUUGGAACUUUUUAACCUUUACAUUCAUGUAUUAUUUGAUUUUCAAAUUUCAUAUUUAAUUUGAUUUUUUUUAUUUAGCUAUAUUUGUUUUCUUUUUUUUGGUAUUUACAUGUUUAAUUUAAUUUUGAAUUUAAUCAAUUCUUGGUAAAUUUAUAUAAAUAUAACUAAAAUUUUAAAUAUUCAUUACCCGUAUAACAAACUAAGAAAAACUUAAGAAGUCGGAUUACAUUUUCAUAAAUUUUAUAUUUGUCCUCGUUGGUUUUGAUUAUUGUUUAACGAUUUUUCAGUUAUUUCUCUUAUUCUUUUUUGCGAUUUAUUCACUUUCGUUGUGAUUUGUUCAUUUGCUCUUUUAGAUUGUUUCUCUCUCUUUAAUAUCGGGUUGAUUUGGACGGUAUUUGUAUAAUUAUUUGUGAUUGGACUUGGCUUCUAUUGGGCUUCUCAAAAGGAUCGUCCAUUCUUAAAUAAACGAUUGUUCAUAAAUAUCGGACGAUCGUUCAAGACAUUUUAAUAGAUCUCUCUAUCACAUUCGAUUAGAGAUUAUUAUUCAUCGUUUAAUUUGAAGCCUUUUUAGCUAUUGUGUAAACUUCACUGCAUGAUAAUGUAUAAUUACAUAUACAAUUUUGUAUAACAUGAAUUGAUUAUUUAUACCUAAAGCUUUCUCGCCAUUAUUUAAAGUUUAUUAUCUCACUGACUUGAAUUAUCAAUAUCAUUCAAACAUAAAUGAAUUGAAUGAAAAAUAAUAUUUUCAAUAAAAUUUUAACAACAUAUAAUUAGAACUAUUGUAUUAUCAUUAUUAAUUUUACAAUAAAACCCAUGCUUAUCUAAUAAUGUUAAUGUUUUUACAAUUAUGUUGUUUUAUAUUUUAGUGAAUUCUAUAUAUAUAUAUAUAUUUACAUAAUUAAAUUAUACUUGAACUAAAAAAAAGAAAAAAUAACGCAAGAAACGAGAAACAACAAACAAUUAUCAUCAAGUUUUUUUUCAAAAAACAUAAAAUGUAUAGUUAUCGAACACAAUCCCUAUUUCUUGCUCUAAAAAAAAUAACAACAAACAAACAAUGAGGAAACACAAACUUUGUGUCAGUAUGAUUUCUAAUUUGUCUAAUGAUUUCAAUGGUUAUUUUAAUGAUAUAUUUUAAUUUAUACAAUUAAUCUAUAUAUAUAUAUAUAUCGGAUAUAUUGAGUUUAUACUAGUAGUCAAACUUGUUUUUAACAUUUUCAUUUGUAAUUUUAUUUACCAAUCAUUUAAUUUGCAAUUAAUUUUACGUGAUUAAUUUAACAUUUUCAUUUUGUAAUUUUAUUUACCUAAUCAUACUUUUCUUUGUAUAGAAUAAUUACAAUAAUCAUUACUUAAAUUAUUAACAAAACAUUGCCAAUGAUUAUGAAAAUCCUUGCAAAUCAAAAUGUUAAAAAACAUUCCACAAAGUAUUAAAAAUCAUUACAAAUCAAAAUGAUAAGAAAAAAUUACGUAUGAUUACAGAUGAAAAUGAAAAAAAAAAAAAAUUGACUAGUACAGUGAACCCAAUACAUCCAAAAUAAUAAAAUAAAAGUAAAGAAAACAUAUAGAUUAAUUACAAAAAUUUUAAAAAAUCAUUAAAAAACAAUGAAAUCAUUUGACAAAUUACUAAAUCAUUAUAAACAUUAUCAUUAAAUAGAUUAAAGAGAAAAACAUCAUAAUAAAAUAAAAGAAGAAUAGUUAAAAUUAUUACCAAAAAUACACAAAAAAUUAUAAUAAAAAAUUAAGAAUAAUAAAUUAUUUAAAAAAACAUUUUAGUAAAAAAACUUGACAAUACAAAUGAUUAAAAAAUGAUUUUCUUGAAAAGUUGAAAAUAAAUUUUAAAAAAAUGCCUGUUUAGAAAUACGCAUUCAAGUCAGCCGCUUCUUUUUUCAGUCUUUUUUUUCUGCGUUUUUUAAGAAAUGCAUUACAAUAAAGUCAAAAAAGAAUUAUUGAAAACCCUUUUUUCUUUUCUAAUUUAUUUUCCGAAUCACAUGUUAAAAACAUAUACUAUUAGUAAAUUAACUUUUCUUAACACAAAAGUUGUUAGAUAAACUUAUUUUAAAUCCUUUUCAUUUCGAACAAAAUAAUUAAUUUAAACUGAUUUCAACAUUUCUUCAACUUUUUUUUAGUACAAAUAGAGGAUUCAAGUUUUUUUUGAAGUUACAGCAACUUGUUGGAUAAUAAGAAGCAUUUUAAAACAGGUAAGAAUUAAAAAAGAAAAUGAAAAUUGAGUUUAUUAAUGAAAAUGAAAAGACAAAGAAAACAAAAAGACCGAAUUACAAAAUAAAUGUGUCACACUUGUUAGUAAAGUUAAGUUGAGUUGUCAAGUUCAACCAUGAUUAGUAAUAUUUUAUUUCUACCACUACACUCUUUUGCAGAACCAGUGUAAAAACCAGAUCUUGACAACAAAUGAUGUCAUGAAAGCAACAAGGAAUAAUUUAAAUAGAGGCAUGGCAACUCUACCUUUGGAUAUAGUUAGACAAUCUUUUUGUUGUAUCAACAAUCCUGAAGAAAGUCAAUAACACGAGUAGUUUCAUUUCAAGAUCAUUGUGUUUCAUCUCAAAAUCAAAUAACAAAAUAUAAAAUAUAAAGAAAAACUAAAACUUACUCUCCCAGUAUGUUGUAUAGUUUAACUCAUUCAAUAGAUAAGAGGGAAAUAGCUAUCACUGCACGAUGGUUGAGUGCAAAAGAAGCCCAUCGUAUAGAAGUUAAAAAGAGAAUAUAGUCAAUAUCUAUUUCUAAAAGAUAGCUUUCAUCGAAUUCUAAAGCAAAUUUAUGUAAAUUUAAGUAAAAGAAACUAAGCUUCACCAUGCUUAAAUCUAAAUAUGCAGAUUUCUUAUUUUUGCUCCAAACUUAUGAAGAAAAGGAACAAAGUGGUAAAAAGGAUUGUGAAAGAUAAAAAUCUCAAUGCUGACUCAUCAUUUGAUAUUAAUAAAUAAUAUCAUUUUUCUACCAACUAAAUGACCAUAGCGUCAUGAUUUUCCACUUCACGUUAUUUUUAUUUUUAUUCUUAUUAUUUUUUAUUGAAUAGAAAGUAAGUAUACCAUUCAACUGGUUGAGACAAUACAGUAAAAAGGGUGGAGAUUUAUUGAAUGUUUUGAGGUUCAAAUCUCCAUGUAUGAUGGCCUAUAUGUAUAAAGAAAGUAGUAGCAAAUGUGUACAAUAACAACUUACAUGUACAGCAUCAUUAAUCGACUGAGUAUUCCAUCAAGGAUAAUGGUAGGAGUUGUGAAGUUAACAAUAUUGACAAACGUCUUUCAUCAAUCAGGUUACCUUCAAAUUAUUUGAUGAGUCAUCCGAAGUAAACCAGAAAUUGACAAGAAAGGAGUCGAUAAUAAUCUACAAAUAAGAAUACUUCCCAUGUCAAUUGAACUGAAAAGGAAAUAAUUAGACAUUCAAAGGGAAAUAUCUAAGAAACCUGGACUAUAUGUGCCGCAAUACAUGGAAGAACCAGCAAACCAGAUUCACCAAGCGCGCCACGAAGCUGUUCCACAACUGCCACCAUCACAGGCAGAGUUUUCUGCAAAGAAUAUGCGUUGUAUAUGAGAUUCCACAUUACGUUCUUGAGAGUGUCUAAUAUGUGUUUCUUUUAAUGUGCUUAACAAGUGAUUCAAAAGGUGCCCGUCUUGCAUUUUGUUCAACUAUGACAGUAUAACAAGUCUAUUGUACUUAUCACAUUAGUGUCCAUAACAUUGAACACAUGACCUAUACUAAAGUGUCCAUGCUCCAGCUGACGAGAUCUGCCACAACCAUACACAAAAGAAAAGGGAACUCUUCUUUCUUUUUCAUUUCACCCCACGUAGAUAUGCGAUAACAAUCUUAUGAGUUUGCAAAAGCACUAUAAAUGUGCUUGUGAGUUAAGUUUAUGUACCUGACUUGCCACGAGCAAAACAGCACUAACAUUUCUUCUCUUUGAGAAAACAGACUUGUUACCACCAGAAAAUGCUGCUAGAGUUCGUAUACCAAGAGCAUUAAAGGCCAAUAAGGCGAUAUGCAAGAAUCUGAAAAUACAACAGUGUAUCAGACUUUAAGCGGCAUCAAUCUGAAAGAAAAUUGUGACUGACCAGUAAACUCAGUGCUUUAUUGGGCAAAGAUUAGAAAACUAGGAAGGCUUUUUUAGUUGCUUACGUUCCCAUUCCUAUGGCUGCGAGAAAUAUUUUAGGCUUGACCAUAAGAAGUAGUGACCUUGAUCUGCUCACUUGCAUCCAUGGCACCUGAUCUUAGAAUGUUAUAGUCUAAUUGAAGAAUAAAAAUUAACAAUUCCAUUAAAUUAAAUAUUGGAGCAUGUAGAACCUAAUAAAUAUUAGAGCAUGUGGUUUGAUUUAAUUUUUCAAGUAUUUCAUUCUGAAAAUAAGUCAUUUGAAAAAACUUGAAGUGUCUGACAACCACUCAGAAUAGCUUUUGAAACACUUUCGACGCUUAUUUUAGUGUUUUUAUCAAAAGAGUUCAAAUAAAAAUGACUUUUUAAAAAAACAUUUUUUUUUCUUUAUGCAAUCCAAACAAGCUGUAAGAAAUUAGCUUUACUUUCCACAUAAACUUAAAAAGAAUAAAAACUGACUAUAGAGCAUCUUCAAUUUACAAAUAGACAAAUACAAUUUUAUAGAGAAAACAAUACUCGAGCAACCAUGAAGUGAAGAAUGACAACAAUAAUGACGGUGAUAAUGAUUCGUGUCUCACAAGACUGAGAAGAAUUGCACUAAUCCUUGGAAAAAGCAUUCGAUUUCCAUCAACAAAGUCAGCCACUCCUGAAAUGAAGAUUGCAAAGGUAAACAAUAACUGUACACUCAAAAACAAUUAAUAACAAUAACAAUAAUAAGGGACAUUUUCAAAUAUAGCAAAAUAAACAAAAAAUAUUUACAAAAUACAAUGAAUUAUAAGAUUCUGUUGGUGACCAUCAUUGCCAUUGUAAAUAUUUUCAGCAGUUUGCCAUUUACAAUAAUUUACCUAAUAAUAAUCAUAAAUUAGGGAGAUUCUAUCGUUAAGUUCUUUGAGAUUUCUUCUCAAAGAACGUUUUGAGGUUAAACAUUAAAGAUGAUGCGCAACCAUUCUAAGGUUAAGCGCAGGGGCAUGAAGGGAAUUGCUCAUUAGAUAGCAAUUGGAGAGAAGGGAAAAGAUACCGAAGGGUCCCACUAAUGAUGGGCGUGGGGAUAUAAAAAGGAAUGUUUUGGGAUUGGUGUAGGUUUUAUUUUGUAAAAAGUUGCGGAAGCUUUUAGAGGGAGAAGUUUCCAGCCUUAUAGAAGGUGUUGGGUUUGAGUGUCUUGUUGCUUAUUUUGCUUGUUUGGUUAUUACUCUUGGUCUGUUUGUGAACAUUAUCUUUGAAUAACAAUAUAUCGUCACAUAGUGCUGCCUCUGUUUCUAUCUUUGUUGGAUUUUACUGAGUUUCAGGUGGAAAAUCCUAACAGACGUUUGAACACUUCAUGCAAUAGCAAAGAAGCAAACUUGAAUUCAAGAAAGCAAAUGAAACUGACGAGAAAUCACCUUUGAAUGACUCUCUCAAGAUCUGUCAAAGGUAAAGACAAGGAUGGGAUAAAUAGAUAAUAAAAGUAUAAUAACAAAAGGAAAAAACAAGUGACAAUCAUAUUUCAAAAGCUAGUUACUCGUAAGAUCUAUCUCAUGGUAUACCAAAGAACUUUCUGCAAUAUCACAGUCUAAAAUAAAGCUUUUAGCAAAAAAAUAAAAGAUAAAAAGGCAAAGGGUAAGGAGAAAAUAGGAACACCAUGUUUAAAACUGAGUUGGCUUUAUUCCUUUAUUUAUUUAAGUUCUAAGCCCCUUUCAGGUUACAAAACAGAUAAAUUGUGGAUGAAUCGUCUACAUUGUGAAUACAUCCGGGUCUAUCACAUUGUUGCAAAUAAUUUACAUGAAAAGGUCAAGUUGAGAAAGCUAUAGAUCGUUUGUUAUGCGUAAUUGGAGUUUGAAGCCUCGUGCUUUUAUGUUGGCCUAAGAUGAAAAGUUCCUUGUCACAAGAAACAAGUCAUAGUAACUAUAUAUUCAUUUCUAAACAACUUCAUCACUAACUGCUACUACAUGUGUCCCAACCAUCCGUUCUUAACAAUUAGAAUGGAAAUAGAGCAAGGUUUGGGACAAAUUUCUUAGAAUGCUCUCUUCAAAGAAAAAUCAGUUUACCUUCCCAAAAAUGAGAGGAAUCAGCAGGAUAAGUACAAGACUUCUGAGUAACUCCUUUGUUGGAACCGCGAUACCAACUCCAGCCGCUAUAAAUUUUGAUAUAGAAAAUGGAAUCUACAGAAAAAUUUAGGAAAUGAAAGUCAACUUUAUCUAAAUGAUAGUAAUGUAACAAUUAAACAAAACACAUUGUCUCAAGGAAUAAAAGAUAAAGGACACUAGAAAAUACAUGAUAAUUUUGGCUGCUUCUAUGCCCUUUUCAAGCGUGAGGAAGAAUUUCGUGCAAGUAGCUUUAUGAAAAAGAAAAAAGAUAAAGUGGCCGGAAAGAAAAGGUAGAAGUUUUUGGAUGUCUAAGAGAUUGUAUUAUCAUUUCUUAUAAUCAAAUAUGUUCCUUGUAAAAUAAUAAUAAUAAUAAAACACUGGCUCUUCUGUUGGCUAGUGCCCUUAAACUGAGCUGACACUGAUAAUCAAAUAUAUGGUUAAUGAUCUCUUUACAUAAGGUGAUUUGUCUGAAUUCUGCAAAUAUAUACCACAAGUUCUAUCUAACCUUGACUCACCUUAUAACCUAACUGUGUACAGAAGCAUGUAUGGAGCAAUCCUCAAUAUUUAAGAAAGUGGUGAAAGAUCUCUAAUUAUAGAGACAGUAUGAUGUUAAACACCAUUAAGAAUCUGAUACGGGAAGCAAAAUUAUCAUAAACUGAGCACACAGUAGUAGGUAUCCGGCGGUUGGUUAUGGUACUAGAGUAGUACAUGCAUAUCCACUUUAAAUGCAGAUUAUACUUGAUCAUAUAAAGAAACCACGGUAGUUUAUUAAAUACCACAAAAGACCACUUCAGAAUCAAUUUACAAUUUUUUGGAACUGAUUGAUGAAAAAUAGCUCUGAAAGAGGAUUUAGAAAAUUAGUACAUUGAGUCUUCUAAGUUUAUACGAUUCUUUUCAUUCUUAGAUAUUUGAACAAAAGAAAGGUAAGGAUAUUUCAAAACUCACAGCCAAUAUUCCCAACAUAUUUGAUAUCACUGUCAUUGCCAGAGCAAGAGCAGAAUUCCCACCAGCAAGCUGAGUUUGAAAAACAUAAAUGCAAUAAGAACAAAGAUAUUUAACUUCAUUUUUCUUUCUGUGGGAGGGGGAAGCAACUCUGUACCUGAGUUAGUGCCACGCCACUUGAUAAUGUAGUAGGCAUGCAGGAAAAUAUUGCUAAUCCUAAAAACAGUGGAGAAACAAUGGGUUAGACUGAAGGGAAAGUUGGUUUCUUAUUCAAAAAAGAGAGUAAACCAUAAAAGAAAUCCCGGAGUUGCGUAUUGAUCCAUAUUAAUGAAACUGAAUUUCAUGUCUAUAAAAAUAUUUUCGAACUGCAUUGUAAGGUAUUUGCAACUUUUUGGGAAAUCAGCGGAUCUUCUUAGAGUUCCACACCAAAUUGGAAAUAUUGAACUUCUACCAGUCCUCCAGUUAUUGGAAUUUCUGCCUUCUUCCCUCAAUGACCAUUUCCUAUGACAAUAGCAUCAACUUGAACCAAUAGUAGAGAUCAUUUUGCUGCCAGAUACAGGAUUAAAGCGAACACACUCUAGCCUAAGAAGACACUAUACACCAAACACUGAUUACAAUUCAUUGAAUACAUUCUUCCCAUCUGGAAAACAUAGAACACUGAUGUAAAUGAGUAUAUUUUAAUUAAGUAAAGGUCUCUUUGGUAGAGAAUCAAGAUUUUGUUUAAUGUUAUCAAAUUCAUUGAGUUCAGUAGAUAUGUGUUCGACAGACAACCCAGAUUCUGUUUCUAAUAACUGUUUAUGGAAUAUGUGAUCCAAGCAGUGCAAAUUCCGAAAACAACAUUUCCAUAUUUUCAUUGUAUCCAUAAUUUGAAUUUUACAUUUUAAAAUGCAGUUAUAUUAAAAACAUUUAGAAAUACAAUGGCAUGUAUUAUAAAUCAUAUAAUAUUACAAAAUAACAAUUAUAUAAAUAUUUUAGGUUAAAUUACAAAUUUGGCCUCUAUGGUUUUAAAAAGAUAGAAUUUAGUCCAUGUGGUUUAUAAGUAGAAUUUAGCUUUGGUGUAGAAAAUAGUCUCAUUCGUAAGGACUAUACAUGAGAUUUUAUUAAACUAUAAAGGCUAAACUCUGACUUUCUCCAAACCAUGAGGACUAAAUUUGCAAUUUAACCAAUUUUUUAAAUAUAAAUUAUGUUCAUAAGUAAAUUAAUAAUAGUUAUUGUCAACUAAAUCUUAGUUGAUAAGACUAAUUUUAUGAUUUAUAAAUAUAUAGUGUCGAACACAUUUAAACAUUUUUUAAAACUAGAAUCUAAUUUCUGAAUCUGUCACCAAAUACAUAUCUAAAAAUACAAAAUGCAACCUUGUUUUCAUCAAAUGCAUUGUUUUCAAAUUUUGUACCAAACGUACCCUAACUGAUUUUUCAUUUAUCCACACAAAUGGUCCAUUGAAUUUGGUUGAGGGCCUUAAGACUAACUGGAUCACCGAGUAGUAAAUACCAGGAUGCAUAUAUGGCCACUGCACAAACCUUUAUUAGAUCAAACUCUUGAUAAAACGAUGACUAUCCAUUCCAAAUUAAUAUUAUACCAAUAUAAUGUUCACCUUCAAAAAGAAAACCAUUUAGAAUUUUCAGCUAAUGCAAGUAUUAUCAAAUUAUACCUCAUUUUAAAAUUGCAUGUAAUAGUUCUAAUUUUACUUCUCUAAACACAACAAAUGAUAGUUUAAAAGUAUUACACUUUCAUCAUGAAGCUAGCAACUUCAAUUUUCAGGCAGAAGAUGGACCAAGAAUAUCUGAAUAGCUAAACGGUCCUUUUUUUUGGGAUAAGGGACAUAUGAUGGAAUUUCUAACCUGUCAUUCAACGGCUAAAAAUAAUUUAUAAACAAACCUGUUACAAAUUCUUGAGGUUGAAGAUGAAUUUGCAAUAUCAGCCUGGAAAAGUAUGGAGUAAGCAAAAGAAUCGAAACCUGACAAAAAACAAUAGAAAGAGAGAGUGAAUAAAAGCUCAACAAAUAUACCGGAAUACAGCAGUGCAAAUGAUACCCAUGCAUUGGAUAUGCCAUAAAAUAUUCCAAUGAACAAGGGUAGUCAAUUUAUUUGGAAAAGAAAUGAGAGACAAGAAAACAUCCUUGUUACUAUAGAAAGGAACAGUCAGAGAGAUCAAGAUCCAAUUUCGAGUUAUUUCUUGUAAUAAUCUCUUAGAUCCCUUCAUUUAUGCCAACCAUGAGGAUUGUAAUCACUAAAAGAGCAACCAUCACACCCUACCCCCAAAGGUAUCUGCAACUCAAGCAUCCAAAUUCAGUGUACAUAACUUAAACAUCCAACUUCAUUGUAGAAAACCUCUUCAAAUUAGUUAACUAAGUACUUAAAUCAGGAUGAACAGUUAAAAGUCUAGACUAAUAAUAAGUCAAGUAACACUAAUCACAUUAUCAUUCCAAGUACAUGCGCAUCGGGAAAUGAUGAAACAGAUACAAAAAAUGAAUUUUAGUGCGUGGAAAGUCACUCUGCCAGCAUUAGAAAAGUGUAUAAGCAUGGGCGGUAACAUACAAAAAAAGAAAAGUAUGAAGGGGGAAAAACUUAAUUAUCAACAAUAUGAAAAUGCGAAUAUACUCAAAGAAUCAACUUACGAGCAAAAAAUAUAAUGGAAGAUUAUAAGUGAGAAUCAUACAAGCCCAUAAACUGCAACAGGCCACGCUUCCACUGAGGCACUAAUUUCUGAUGUACGCAAUGUCAACCCUGAGUAGUCACAUCACGUAUAAAAUAAAGAUUACAUAAAAAAUAUAAAUUUCAUGUUAAUAGUUAAUAAAAGUACCUAACCUGAAAUGACAAAUAUCCCAAAUGUGCUAAACUUUGAGAGAUAAUACCUAUCAGCAAGACAUCCAAGACUUGGAUUUGCAACUCCUACUGCUACACCAGUGACAAGAGCUACAUAUUGAAUUGAGGAACAAAAAUACGAUAAGCUGACAGAAUAAAUAUAAUUUCAAUUGAAUGGAAACAAGAAACAAUAAGUAUUUAACUUACCUAGAGGAAGAAAAUUAUUAUUUGCAAAAGUUGAUAAGGUCUCGAACCAACUAACUCUCUUUUCCGAACCCGAAACACUGGUAGGUUCGUUUAUUCUUCCACCGUCGUCUUUCUGAAUCACGGUGAUAAAAUCUCGUAUUAAAGGCAUUACAUGCAGAGAAAAUAAGUGGAUGUAUGAGUUUCAACAUUGAGAAAGAAUCGAAGGGAGAGAACACAACCUUAUCGGGCAAUCCGCAGGCUCUGAUGGGACAAUAACUUCGGCGUUUGCGAUUCAAAGCGAGAGAAGUGGAAGGCAAGAGUGCGACAUUAGAGGAGAAAUGAGAAAUUUGGAAAGAAAAGGCCGGUGGAUUGCUCCGAUGAGACAAAACGAGAAGACUAUAGAGGGAUUUGGUUCCCACGAACGCCAUAGCCAUAGGAGUGGUAAGGAAGAGAAAGGAGUGAAGAGUGAAAUAGUGAGCGCUGUAGGCGUUGGAUUGCCAGUCGACUAUCAAACGAAGCGUGAUUCGCGUGGACGUCAACAAAUGGGGACAUUUUGAGAGAUAGCACGAUUUUUGUUUUAUAUUUUAGAAGUAGCACAAACUUUGGAAAACUUCUAAUUUUGUUUUUUUGGUCCAGCUCAACACCAAGCUUCUUUACAAAUUUUUAAAAAGUCUUUCAACAUAAUUUCUCGGUUCCUUUCGGCUAAAUUCGACACUGAGAUUGUUCUUUUUUUUUUUAAUUUGAAAAUAAAGAAAUUUAUCAAAUGACCAAAAUAUCUUAGAAGCUCGAACGUUACAAACUCUUAAUUUCUCAACCCCUUCUCGGGCGAUUUCGCCACCGAGAUUUUUUAAAAAAAUUGAAAAUAAAGUAAUUUAUCAAAAGACCAAAAUACCCUUGAAAGUUCAAACGUUACAUAUUCUCACAAAACACUAAAUGCCAAACAGUGUGCUCAUUUGGAUCGAGAAGUGAACGAUUUUGCUCCUAAAUCUCUCAAGGUGAAGUACUUUUAGUUUUAGGUUUAGUUUUUAGUUUAUGUUUUCAAUUUUUAGUUUGAAUUUUGAGGUUGGUGGUCUAAUGUAGUUAGAUGUAGAUUAUUAUUUUAAGUCAAUGCAUGUAGUCUACUUUGAUGAAUCUCGACGACUUCAUCAACUUAGAUCCGUCAGAUGAAGAAUCUUAGCCUCGAUCUAGAUUUGUUGAAGGCUCCCAAGAUCUGAAGUCAGUGCAGUCUCCUUUUUGUAUUUUUCAUACGUUUCACUCUCUUUUCUUCAAUCUCAAAAAGAGGGAAGUUAAGAGAAUAAUGGAAUGGGGAAAACCACCCACAUUUCUCAACUUAAUAAAUUAAUAUUAAAAUUAAAUUAAAUAAUUAAUAUUUCGUUUAAAUUAUAUUAAAUGAAUAUCCCUCACAUAACCUAUAGUUUUAAUUUAAUUAAACUAAAUUAUUAAUUAAUUCUUUAAUUAAUUAAUUUCUAAAUUAAAUAUCGUAUAUUUAAAUGCUUUCAUCAAUGAAACGCAAACCCAUUUCAGAUCCUCAAUUGGAGAAAAAGGAAGGGAUUCGUCAAGGACUUGGAAGACACAGGAAGAAAUGGGGAAAACCAACCUUGGACACGGGGGAAUUGAUGACUGAGUGAGAUGGUGAACGGGGAGAAGGAAACCAAAAUUUAAAAUGGGGAAAUAAAUCAACAAACCUUCGAAAGGGGGAACGGCGAAAACCUAAGUUCAAAAGGAGAAAUCGUGCAAUAACCAACCUCCAAAACGGUGAAGUCGAAAACGAGCCUCCAAAUGGUCAAAUAUAAGGAAGCAAAAUAAAGUGAAAAUGAUGGAUUAACACUCGGACUAAGGAAGGGUUGGGAAGGAAUUACGGCAGAAGAGAGGGUUAUGAGGGAGUUGAAGAGAGAUUGAGAGGGAAGAUGGGUUGAAGGGUGUAUGACCGGGGUUAUGAAACCCUGAAACAAUGGUUAUAAAACUUUAAAACAAUGGUUAUGAUAAGGGUAAUUGUAAUUGAUGGCCAUUUGAGGAAUAAUAAUUAAGGAUAUAACAACAUUUAAAAAAAAUUGCAAAUAUAGCAAAACUAUCGCUGAUAGACUUGUAUCAAUAGACUCGUAUGAUCUAUCGGUGAUAGACCAAUUUUUACAACAUGAUUAUCAGUUAUAGACUCUAUCAUUGAUAGAUUUUGACAAAUUUUGCUAUAUUUGCAAUUUUUUUAAAAUGUUGCUAUAUACUUAAUUAUUUUGAAUUUAAUUGUUAAAUUUGCAACUAUCUCUUAUGAUAACCCUUCCCCAAACCGGUGUUGGGUUUACAUAACCCAAGCCCACAAUGAUAACUUGAGGCCCAAAUGACUUCUAACAAUCUCAACCCCAAACCAAUCACAAUUUCAAUACACUUAAACAUAAAUUUCAACAAUUUAAACCAUAAACCUAUAGCAACUUCAAUAUACAUUUUAACAUACAAUUUCAUUAUUUCUAAACUUCAAACAAUUUCAAUACAUUUAAACAUAAAUUUCAACCAUUUCAACCCUAAACCCAUAACAAAUUUCAAUAUACAGUUUAUACAUACAAUUUAAUUCUUAAACUUCAAACACUUUCAAUACGUUUAAACAUAUAUUUUAACAAUUUUUAACUCUGCAAACAAAUUUAAUAUACAUUUACAACAUAUAUUUAUUUAACUUAAAACAAAAAUAGUUUAGUGGAAUGUAGAGCAGCAACGAUGAAAUAGGACAACGAGCGAAGGAUGGUGAGCAACAGAGCAACCCAGCGACAAUGGCGAAUGGACGACAGACAACAGACGAUGACGACAAAGGCGAACAGAUCUCUCUCUCUCUCUCUCGAUCUCUAACCUUUUCUUUCAUUUUUAGUUAUGUAAACAAAAAACUCAUAUUCAUAGGAGAUGUCUGAACGCACCUUGAAAACGUCGCUAGAUCCCCACUUCUCUCGACACCAUAAGUGAAAUGUUAGGAUUAGUGGGGAUCAGUCGCGACAUUUCACUUACGUCGUUAGGAAUGAUCCCCACUAAUCCGUACGUUGUAUCAUGACAUCAGAGAAAAUUAAAAUUAUUAUUUAAAUGUUACUUCUUUUUCAACGUGGUCAACAUCAACGUUCCAAAUUCCCAACGUAUGCAUGUAAGACGUUGAGGAAAAUGAAACAUUUAAAUAAUAAUUUCCCUUUUUCUAGACACCACAGACAUCCACGUUGGACAUAGCCACCUCAUUCCCAACGUAGGUAUGCAUGGCAUCGGAGAAAAGGAAAAUUAUUAUUUAAAUGUUACAUUUGUCCGACGUUUACAUGCAUGACGUCGGACAUGGUGUACGCAAUCUUGAUGUUGUAUUCAAGACGUCAAAAAAGAUGACGACUGCCAACACAUACGUCAUUGUAUCGACGCAGGUUUUGUUUUCUGAUGUUAUCUAUUCCCAACGCACAAAAACGCAUCGAAAUAGACCCCAUUUUCUUAUAGUGCCUCCUCAACCUGAAAAGAGAAAAUGUAAUUUGUCCAUACUAUCACAAAAAAUUUGAAUAGAAAAAAAAAAGGAAGAGAAUCCAUAUUUAAAACAUGAAGUCAAAUUUGAAUAUGGAGACUUAGACCAAACACUAGUAAAAGUUAAUUGCACAUAUAUCUAAGAGAUUUGAUUCUCACACAUUAAAAGAACUCUUUUUUGAUUUACGGGUCAAUUUUAACUUGAGUUCAAAGCAUUUGGGUAUGCUUACGGAAGAAAAUGAAAAGAAAAAGAAAAGGCCAAAAUGUUCAUGCUAAAGUAAAAUGUAUAGCACUAAAUGAAAUAGUAUGUAAUGUAAUUAUUAUGAUGGUAAAAUUUAGACACAAACAAAAUAAAAUCUAAACACAAAAUCCCAAUACCUUUUCUUUGGAGAAAAAUGAAUAAUGAAAAGAGAGAUCAAGAAAAGAAAAUGUAGUAAAGAAAAAGUAAUUGAUUUGCUUUAAUGUAUCUUACAAAAUAAGUUAACUUUACAGUUUUCGCCAAAAAAAGAAGAAAGAAAAGCUACCUAAAGUUAGCCUUUACAGUUAACAUUUCAUUGUUCCGGUUCACAUCUCUUUCCUCUCCGGCCCCGUUAACUCAAUCCUCUCUCUUCAUCCAUUUGUAAUUUACUUACUUCCACCUCUUUUGGAACUUGUGUUUGUUUAUCUUAGUGGUUUGAGUUUUUGAAGUUGAAGUUUAGAAUAAUAUUUGUCUAAAUUGAUUUUUAAGUGCUCGAAAGUACUUCAAAUUGAUUUUUAGCACUUGAUUCUUUAGCUUCAAGCCUUUGAAAGUGUUCUGUGAGUUUAUGUAUUUGACUUUUGAUUAAGUUAUUUUUUUUUCAUGGAAUUAGAGCUUAAAUAUUAGUAAAAAUUAAUUUAAUCAAAUUUACUAGAUAAGUUGCCAUUGAUGGUACAAAACUUUUUGUUCAAAUGCCCAAUUCCUUUGUUGAGUAAAGAAAAAAAAGGUAUGUGAUAAUCAUAAUGAAUAACAAUUAAUUUAAGAGAUAAUAACUAUAUUGCAACAUUUUUUAAAAAAAUACAAAGAGCAAAAUAUAUACUUCUAUACAUGAUACUCUUAUGGCCUAGUAGAUAGCCUUCCUUUUGGAGAUAGGGUACUCUAACAAACUUUUUAAAAUAUAUUGUUAUAUAUACUUCGAAUUUAAUGGUUAUAUUUACAACUUACAUUAAAACAAUGAUAUUAGUAUGUGGAGGAGAGAAGAGAAUAUAAUAACAAUGAAUGGAAGAUCCAAAAAUUUUGUUGCAUAAAGGGUGUGGCUUGAAGUUGGGUCUAAAGAGUGUUUGAAAGAUAAUUUUAUCAAAGCUAUUUAUUAUUUCAAUAGCAUAAGGUUGAGAAGGUAAAGGAGACUGAAGCCGUAGGCCUAUACUAAAAAAUGUGUCGGUGAUACCAAUUUGGAGAUUGGGAGUAUGAGUAGUAGUCAAAUAUUUUAAUGGACGAAGGUGGAAAAAACCAUAAACAUAUAUCAAGUUGUUAUUCCAAUCUCAAAAUUGUAGCUACGGUUGUUACAAAAAUUACUUAAGUAUACAUUAUCACCUAUAUAUUGUUAUUCAAAAAACACACAACUCCACCUUCUAAGAAUCACAUGCACACAGAUAUUCAGUAACAGUUUUGGUGAUUAAAUAACACACCAAGACAAUAAUUACACUAAUAUUUCACAGAUUUACUAACAAAAACGACUAAAGAGAUGAUCAGAUCAAGAGAACUUUCAAUUCAUUAAUGUAGAUUCACCUUCUGGAAUACAUUCCAAAGCCGGCUUCCAGCUUCCAGUUUCAUCUGCAGAAACCGUCGUCGCUCUGCCUUUCACCUUCAACUCCUCAAUCAAUUCCUCCAAUGAACACGAAUUAUUCUCUCUACUCUUCAAUAUCUGUUUUAACUCUUUCUGAGAUAUCACCACUUUAAUCCUCAACACUCCGGGUCCAGAGUCCCCGGAAUUUCUCCCCUCUUCGUCUUUUUCUUCUUCUUGUAAAUUAAACCUCACUACCUUCUUACCAGCCGCACCCCCGGUUCCGUUCUUUGGCUUGGCCAUCGCGGAUCCAGGAAGCGGUUGUUGCUGGACUUUCUUAGGUUCAAUCAAGUGAUGAGGAGGAAAAUCAUCAUAAGAGUCGUCUUGAGCCAUAACUUUGUUGCUUUUAAAGCAGAUAUUCCCCAUUGGAUUGUUGUUACUAUUGAAGAAAAUUGAAAUGAAUAAAUGUUCAGUAGUGAAGAUGUGAAUUUAUAGGGAGAGAUGAGAGAGAAGAAUAAAAGGCACAUGAGAAAGCGCUUGUUGUGCCGCGUUAACUGACAGAUAAACAAAAGCGUAAAACGCAACGUUCCUUAUUUCUUGCACUCUAC
rnacentral:lncRNA from 1 species